rnacentral:lncRNA from 1 species
CAAGCUUUUCCUAGCUUCUGGAUCAUUUGUGCCCGUUCAUCUGGGGAGGCAGAGGUGAGAAGAGCAAAAUCAAUGAUGGGGAUUGAGUGUUCAGGGUCGUUUGCAUCUCCCUUAUCGUUGGGAUCCAUGAUGUAGGCGUACUCGGAAGGUACAGAAGUGAGAGCAUCUGAGUCGGCUAAGGUUUUGAUGCUUGCUACCUUGGGUUCAGAUGCAUCCACUGAAGUCACGGUAGGUGCCAUUGGUGGAGGGAGCGAGAAAGAAGCUGAGAAUUCUGGUCUUUGAUUUGUAUAUCCUGAAGGAAGGACGUGAGGGAGAGGAAAGUUGAUUGUUUGAGAGUUGUGGAGAAAUAUGAAAAAAGGAGUUGCUAUUUUAUAGAGCAAGAUAACUUAUGACUCUACCCCCACAAGCUGGUGGUUUUUGAAUAAGUUCGGCCAAAGCUGACCUAGAUUUCAAAUCUGUUGUCCUGCAACAAUAAAAUAUAUAUUAAUUAGUUGUUAACCUACAUGUAUAUGCAAUAGAUUAAUUCUUGGAAAACCAUAUUAUGUAAAUCAUAUUUAAAUUAUUUCUCUAAUAGAGAUGAGACAUACUUGUAUGAUUCGAUAGAUGGUUUAUUAUCGUCUACAUAGGAAAAUGUCAAAGGAACAUUUAAAUCAUGUGCUAUGUUACUAAUAGAAAUAAGUUCGUUAAUCAAGCACUUAAGUAACAAAAUAAUCAUUGACAAUCACGUCAUGUUUAUAUAUAUGGUCUCACUAGCAUUACUCGAUCUACAAAAUAUGAUUUUUUAGCAUUACCCUCUCUAAAAGAAGUAGAGUCCACCAUACAUGUAGGUCGCACUAUUUCAAAGAUUUCGAAGUGGUCUCCAAAAUAUUAGUGUAAGCACAAAAAUUCCUGCCACAAAUGAGAUAUUUACAUGCCUACAAUUAGCUCCCCAACAUUUUUCUAUGCAAUAAUCAUACUACUACUAGAUAUAGGAAAACCAAAAUUUGAGGGGAUUGCCUAUGAAUAUGUUAUAUAAUACAUUCAUUAUCUAAUAGUAUGAUAUGCAACUAAAAAGACAUGGUAUCAUAUUUAACCGUUAAAUGGUGAAAAUACUAAAUAAAUAUACAUGCUGUAAGUAAACUAAUGAAAUAGUGAAAAAAAAUGCUUUACUUUGUUUUAUAUUCCCAAAUGGAGGAGAGAUGGGAAGAGUAUAUGCAUGAAUGAAUAGUUGAUGAGAAAAUUAGAAAAAUGUAGGAAUGCGUUUGGCAUGGGGUUUAAAGAAAAUCCAAAGUCGCGUCCAGUUUGAGACUUUGACUACGGCAGACAAAGCCACUGAAGCAAGCACAACAAGCCGCCCACCACAGCCAAGUAAAAGAAUAUGACACGAAAUAUGGCACAAAAAAAUCAAAUACAAUCAUGCAUCGGCAUCUGUACGCAUCUACAAUUCCAAAUCUAAAUUUACCCCUUGGCCUUGGGAGUUUCUGCCGUUUGGAUGCCCACCGGUAGGUAACAGAUUCUUCAUGUCCCAAGCCUAAUAUUGGAAUCCCGUUUUAUGAAACCUCGUUAAUUGGGUGCAAUUAUUGACACACCAAAAAUUGAGAAUUUUAACGAAACGCUUCCGGUAUUGUUUAUUUUAACGAAAAAUCAUAUUUUUACACUAAAAAGUUAAUCCUGGUACUAUUCACUUUACCCUUUAUUUUGUCCUUAUCGUUAAAACUCAAAGUUUUCAAAUAAUUUUCAUUAGUUUUCCUUUAAAAAAUUUAUUGUGCUCUUUUUAUAAGUGUUUGUUUUACAAAUAAUAUUUUACAGUAUCCAUAUUAAAAGAAAAAGUUUGAACCUUGAACGAAAUUAGUUGAGGGGGAAGACCUAACUAUUAAGACAAUUCACUAUUUGCAAGUAUUUUUUUUUUCUAAAUAAGACAAUAAUUUUUUCUAAGAUGCCAAUAACAACGCCCAAUCAACUUUGAUGAUUCAAUUAGUCAACCAUUAAUUCAUGUUAGUUGGCUUGGUUUUCGAGAAGGUGACGUAUAUCCAAAUUCCAACUAUAUUAUACUUCUCCAUUUUGUUUUUAUUUUGAGUAAUGUUAAGGAGGUUACACGUUUAUAUUAUAUUUAGUAUAUCAUCUCAUAUAACAAGUGAUGCAUACAAUUAAUAUCCAAUGAGAUAAUUUUAUAUUGACUUGACGUGUACACAUCACUUGUCAUGGCACGAGAGAUUUUACAUAUUUUACUUUCUCGAACAUUAAACUUAGAACGAGAAUGAUGCAAUCCAUAUUUCUAUGAAACCUCUCUUUUGUUUGGUGAACCACAUAUAUGGCUAAAACCUUUUGAAUGUGAAUAUGCUUGAAAUUUCAUUUCUCAGAAUAAAACAAUACCUUAAAAUAAUAUUCUGGAGAGUAGGCUUUCAUAGUUUGAAAAACACAUGCGAAAAUACUACAAAUUAGUUCAAAAUGCACGCAAGACACUUUUGUAUAAAUUAAAUGUAACCCUAAGUUUAUAUUUCGUUCAAAGGACCUAUCCCUUCCAGAAUGUAAACCCCACACGAGUCAAAGUGACAUCAUUUGCACCCAUUUCAUCCUACCUUUUAACUAGAACUCUUGCUUUAAGUCUCUAUGGGAAUUGACUGGAGUAGGUUCUCUGGCGAAACAGACAAAAUGACCUUGUCAAAAUCUACCGUAGAAAAGCAGAGUAGAAUUUUCUCUACUUCUAGUCUUCUAUUCUCUUCCAUUUCCCUUACCCCCACUCAUACUUUCAUUUUUUUCUUUAUACCUCUAUAAAAAAUAUUCUGAGCUGCUGACGUGAUUGAAUCUCAACCUUUCAAAUACGAGAGGAGAGAAGGGGAAAUAAUCCUAGAAAAAGUGACUCCACCGGUGCUCCAAUCAUGUGAGUUGACUUGGCGCCAAUUCAAAAAAUCAUCUCCAUUGGUAGAAAAAUAUUAAGGCAAUUGGAACAAGUGUAGCAACCCCACCUGAGCUUGCACUUGCAAGCAAUUAGAGCAACUCCAGCGUUGCAAAGGCCCUUAGGGCAACUCACUAUUAAAUAACCUCCAGUAAAUAAUAACUUUCAUUAAUGAACAAUAACUAUCUUUUGCAUCUCCAAUCCUAAACUAAAUAGUCAUGGCAAUAGGCAAUAAAAUAUUAGUAUUUUUUAUUUUAUAAAAUAAUACAAAAUAAUUUUAUUUGUAAUUUCGAAUAAGAUUUUUAAUUGUUUUCGUUGCGCUACGUGUCAUUAUCCGAGAAGACAAUUUUUGGUGAUAGAUUUCGAUAAGAUAUCUAUUCAAUGUCGUCGUGCCACGUGUUGUUAUCUUUUCAGAAUCGUUGAGGAUAUAUUUUCAAUAAGAUUUUUAACCAAUCACGUCGCGCCACGUGUCACAAUUUGUUUACAAUCUUUGAGGAUAGACUUCAAUCAGAUUUUUAACGAAUGAUGGCAUGCCACGUGACAUUAUCUACAACCUAAUAUGAAAUUGUGGUGUAAGAUAGAAGAUAAUGAGUAGGUAUUUAUAGAAAAGUAAAAUAAUUUUUUUUUCGGAUUUUUCAUUAAUUUUAACAUUUUUAUUAACUUAAUUAAUCUCUGCAGUUGGACUAAAAAAAAUUUGAAAUCCAACCUUCCAGAUUGUGCCAUGUGGCACAACAGUAACAUUUCAAAAUUUAUUAAUGUGAAUUCUUUUUUUAUUUAUUUUUAAAGGCGAAUAAUGUGGAUCGUUGAUCUCAAAUCCAACGGCUGAUACUGUGGAAGGUUUCAAAUUUUUUUUACCAUUGGAAAUCCAACGGUGUAGAUAAAGUAAUCGUUGAAAUCCAACAGACAAGAAAAAGCCACGUGGCCACCAACAGGUAACAUUUCUGCCGUCUACGCCGUGGGCCCCAGUGCUUGAUGCAAAAAUAAUUAAAUAAUGGCUGACGCCACCCUGACGUCAGCGUUGCAUCACAUGACCCUCAAGCUCUCGGGCCACCAAUUCGCAUUGGGCCUUUCACUCAGGCCCCCCUCCCCAAUCGCACGCAUGGGCUGGAGGUUGUUGCUGGGGCUAUUAGGUCUUCAAAGUUGUCGGUCCAUCGGGCUUCAGCUCCUGCUGGAGUUGCUCUUAGAGCAAGGGCAGCAGCCCGUUGGGCUGUCCUACUUGUUCAAGCAUGGGCUUGGGCCUGUAGGCAACUGAAACUAACGUCUGUGCAGGUCCACCACGUGCAAUCCACUAAGGCAAAAACCUCGCACUCACCCGUUAGAUUUUUAAUGGUCUUCUCAUCGACCGUUGGAUUUUCAACAAUAAAAAAACUUGAAAAUUAUAGUUUGUGCCACGUCGCACAAUUUGGUGCAUCUAAUUUUUUUUUUUUGGAAAUCAACGACUAGGAUUAAUCCAAAGGUAAAAAUUCCACAAAAUGUCAAAAAAAAAAAAAAUACAAAAUUUUGUUUAGUAACACAUUAACACUUAAACAAACUCCAAAGUUCAACCAUCUUCUUUAUUCACCUUUUACCUUUAAUUAAUUAUGCUUGUUUGUACUACUAUGUUUUGCUUGGUUUUCGAGAUGCCAAAAUUCCAACUGUACUAUGAUUCUCCAAUUUGUAUUCAUUUUGAGUAAUGCUGAGGAGAUUACACAUUUUUACUACAUUUAAUGUAUUAUCUCAUAUGACAAAUAAUGCAUACAAACAAAAAUAAUGCAGUCCAUAUCUCUAUUAGGGCUGGGUUAGGUUUGAAACGGUUCGGUUUUUAGUCAAAAUCGAAACCGAACCGAAAUUUCGGUUCAGUUCGGUUCGGUUCAAAUUUUUUCGGUUCGGUUUUUUUCGAUUUUGAUUUUUUUCGGUUCGGUUUCAGUCCGGUUCGGUUUUUUCCAUGAUAUUUUUUUUUUAAUUUGGAACAAAUCUGCAACGAUUAAUUGCGAGCACUGAAGAUGCAGAAACUUAUUGGGUAUUGGUGCAAAUGAAUAUGAACUGGAACAAAUCUGCAAAUCUGCACUGGAAGAAAUCUGCAAAUGAAUACGAACUGGAACAAAUCUGCAAAUGAAUACGAAAAUUACAAUAUAAAAUCCCAAAUCCCAACAAAUCUGCAAAGAUUAUAACAUGCAAAAUCCCAACUAAUAAUUAAAAGAAAAACCCAUUUUAAUUCAGUAAAUCACAAUAUAAAAUCCCAACAAAUCUGCAAAUGAAUACGAAAAUUACAAUAUAAAAUCCCAACAAAUCUGCAAAGAUUAUAACAUGCAAAUCCCAACAAAUAAUGAAAAGAAAAACUCAUUUUAAUUCAGUAAAUCACAAUAUAAAAUUAUAAAUCAUAUUAGUUUUGAUUCGAAAAUUACCUAUGAGAGAUCGGAAAACCCGGAUUCGAAUCUUCUAAUUUAGAGGGGGUUUUGAUUCGAAAGGGGCGAGGGAAAAUCAUGGUUUGGAAGAAGGAAUCCGUGAGGAGGACAUGAGAAGACUGGAGAGAGAGUGAUUUGGAGGAAGAGAGGAAGGAGAGAGAGAGAGAGAGAGAGAGAGAGAGAGAGAGAGAGGCUGAGGAAGCAAAGGCAGAGAGAGGAAGCAGCGGAGGGGAGUGUUUGAAAUCUGAAAUGGGAAGUGAGACAAAGUGUGAGACGGCUAGGGUUUGUAAAGUUAAGAAAUUUUAUAAAGCAUUAAAUACAAGAAACCUAUAAAUAUUGUACUGGUACAAUUAUAACAACUCAAAGCCUACAGUCAAGUUGGCUUGCAGCAACUAAUCCUAAGCUGUAGGGAAGGGGUUCAAACCCCGGCGCCAACAUGUUUUUUUAGAAUUUAUAUAUGAUUUUUUUUUCGGUUCGGUUCGGUUUCCGAACCUCAAAAACCGAAACCGAACCAACCAGAUUCGGUUCGGUUCGGUUUGGCAGUUUCGGUUCGGUUUUUUCGACUUCGGUUCGGUUUGGUUUUCGGUUUUUUGAACCCACCCCUAAUCUCUAUAAAACCUCUCUUUUGUUUGGUGAACCAUGUACCUAACACCUUUUGAACGGGAAUGCGUACGUACUAAUUGAAUUCUUGAAAUUUCAUUUCGCGCAAUAAACAAAUGUAAUCCCACUGACAUCAUUUGCACCCAUUUCUCUAUGUUGGAACGUCAUCAUACCCUUUAAUUUUAACUCCUCUUAGUCUGUGUGAGUUGACAAGGGAAAGGUCCUCAGGAUAAUAAGGCAAAAUGAUCGUAUCAAAAUCGGCUAUAGAAUCCUUUUGACAAAAAAAAAAAAUAAAAAAAAAUAAAAAAAAAAAUUAAAAAAUAAAAAAUAAAAAUAAAAAUCUGCUAUAGAAUCAAUCGGCACUGACCUUCUUGGGAAAACACAUCCGCUACAUGUUCACACAGCAUUCAGCCUCACGCACCAGCUGCUUGAGGACGCGAAGGAUAGGCCGUUGGAUUUUCCACGUUAAAAAAAUGAAAAAUUAUAAGUUGUGCUAAGUUGCAUAAUGUGGUGUAUUUAAAAAUUAACCGCCAUAAUUAAUUCAAAGCAAAAAAUUUAGAAGAAAAUGCAAAAAAUUCCUAAAAGAUACAAAACUCUGUUCUAGAACACACUUAAAAUUAAACACACUAAAACAAACUGAUAAAAGUUCAACCAUCUUCUUCAUUCACAUUUGAUCUUUAAUUAAUGGGUAAAUUACAUUUUACCACCCCAGAUUUAAGGUUUAUUACAACCUCAUACAACAUCUUCAAAAAAUUUCACUUUCAUAUCUCAUGUACUAUUUUAUUUCAAUAUAAUGCAUCUGAUACAUUUUUCAUCAAUUGGACCGUUAAGAGUUGAUGUGGCUGUCACAUUUAUGCCACGUGACUGCCACAUUUAUGCCAUGUGGCUGACCAAUUAAUAAAAAUAUUAAAAUAAUUAAUUAAAAAACAAUAGAAACCCCCAUUUGUCUUCCUCGAGCACCCUCUUCUCCCAUCCCUCGUCACCAUGGUCUAAAAUAUCCAUAAUAUCCCGAUAUUUCCAUCGAAAUUUCCGUGUUUUUGGACUACCGAUAUUUUUUUGGACUAUCGAUAUUUCCGAUAUCAUCGAUAUUUUAGACCUUGCUAAGUCACUCAUGUAUCUUACCAUGCAAUGUAUAAAGUGUAAAAUAUUGUACUAAUUCAUUAUAUAUAAAUGAUUAUGGUGUGUUUAAACUUCUUUCAUUAAUUACUACAUAUUUUCUACACUCACAAUGUUUGCCAGCUCGCUAUAUAAUCAACUUAAAUCAGUUAUAUCUAUCAUGCAAUGCAUUUCCUUCCAAUUUUUUUGUAAUAAACUAAUAGAUAAUUGACUAAAUAAACAUCCUGUAAAGUUUCAAUAAAAUUUCCAAGUUUUUCUUACAAUUUCCGUGGUUUUUAUUCAAUUUUUAUCGAUAUCGAUAAUAUCCCGAUAUUUCGAUCGAAAUUUCCGUGUUUUUGGAUUAUCGAUAUUUCCGAUAUUAUCGAUAUUUAAUACCUUGCUCGUCACCAACCCUGUCCCCUAAUUUUUUCCCCCAAACAAAGCCCAUCACCUCCUCCUCUCCUCCCGUUGCAACAUUUCCUCCGUUAGCCCGAGGAGGUAUCUCAUCACUAGACCCUGAAUCGCUUAAGACCAACCUAGACCUCUUCUUGUCCUUCGGUUCAAAAACCUUCCGAGCACUCGAAGAACCAACAACACCACUCAACCCCUUAGGUUUCUUCCUCACAAUUAAGCAACCUGAAGAAUUUUUCUUCACCAAAACCCCAGAAGGGCCAACAGAUCUCACACCUUCGUCCAUCUACAUCAACCGCUAGAAACCAAAAAACCCUAAUUUUUCAAAACCCGCCCCUAAUUUUUCAAAACCCGCAGUCCAAUUGAAAGGGCAAAGGAAUAUUUCACAAAAAUCUUACCUCGCAGGAGAGUCUGGAACUCUGCCUAUUGAAGAUAUCUGAUCGCUGUCGCAAUUCUCCAAAUCAGAGAGAAAGGGGAAGGUUCAGACGGAGAAAGAGAGGGAGAGACAUAGAGAGAAGGGCUGGGUUUGGAUUGUAAAUAUAUGCAAUUGCAGGGCAGAUCAGAGAAGGGGUGGCUCGGGUGGGUGAUGGGGGAUGGGAGAAGGAGGUGCUCGAGGAAGACGAAUGGGGGUUUCUGUUUUGUUUUUUGUUUUUUGUUUUUUUUUGUUUUUUAGUUUUCUUUAAUUAAUUAUUUAAAAUGACAUGACUGCCACAUUUGCGCCAUAUGGCUAAACAAUUAAUUAAAAAAAAUUAAUUUUUUUUAUUAAUUGUUUAGGCACGUGGCUCAAAUGUGGCAGUCAUGUCAGCUCUUAACGAAUUAAUGGAUGGAAAAUAUAACAGAUGUAUUAUAUUGAAAUAAAAUAGUACAUGAGGUAUGAUAGUGAAAUUUUUUGAAGAUAUUGUAUGAGGUUGCAAUAGACCUCAAACUUGAGGUGGUAAAGUGUAAUUUACCCUCAAUUAAUUAUGCUUGUGUUGUAAUGUUAUGCUUUACUUUGUGUUUAAUUAAAUUAUUUGAGUUAAAUAGGGAAUUUUAUUUUUAAAGAACAAACUUGUUAAGUACAUACUCACAAGACGUUGGCGGGCCCUACAUCUGUUAGAGAAAUGUAGGUCCUGGCAAACAGGUUGUGUUUACCGUGUUCGUGGUGUUUUCGUGUAACACCUGUUAUCUUAACGAGUCGGGUCGUGUCGUAUCACACCAAUAUCUUAACAUGUUCUUAACAGGUCGGGCUAUUUAACCAGCAGGUAAAAUGACCCGUUAAGAUUUUUUUUUCUUUUAAAUUUGACAUACCACAUUGCCACAUAAAAUAUUACUUCGAAAACUAAUUCGAAACGAAAAACCCCAAAUUGAAGAAAUGAAACCAAUCUAAUUCGAAAACUAAUUCACAGCAAAACCUUAUCUUUUGAAAGUGAUUCGAAAUAAUCAACAAUUACCUUGAUUAGGGCUCCAGAUUCGCUCAAUCCAGAGAGAGAAUAGAGACAAAAGUAGUAGAUCGACUGGUGGUGGGUUACUAGGUCGUAUGUGGUGAGGGUGGUGUUGUGGAGGGAGACUAGAGAGGAUGGUCGUGGACUCGUAGCUAGGUGGAGUUGAGGUUCGAGACUGAGAUUCGAGAGUUUAGUUUGAAAAAGAAAGAGUCUCUGCUUCGAUUCGAGCAUUCGAGAAUAAGAGAGGAGUCUGAUUUAAGGCUGAGAAAAACAUUGGACGGCUGAGAUUUAAUCUUAGCCGAUCCAAUGGUCAUCAAUUUUCUAAUUUUUUUAAAUAUAUAGGAAAACUAAUGAAAAUGGCUUGAAAAUUUUGAAUUUUAAUCAAAAGGACAAAAAUGUGUUGUAAGUGAAUAGUACUAUGAGUGACUUUUUAGAGUAAAAUUGUCAUUUUUCGUUAAAGUGAACAGUACCAGGAGUGUUUUGUUAAAACUCCCUAUAUAUAUAUAUAUUAACUUUCAAUUCAGUUUAGGAUUAAAUCCUUUUGUUGUUAAUCUUAAUAUUUCUUUCUAGUGGUAUGAAAAUUUUAAAUUAAUAUUUUUCCUAUUAUGUAACGGGUUACCCACGUGUGUACCGACCCGUUAUUUAACAGAUGCUUAUCAGGUUACCGGAUAAUGACUCGAUUUGUUAUUGUGUCAACCUGAAAACCUGUUGAUUUCGUGUCGUGUAAAAAAUUGCUAGGCCUCGAGAAAUGUUAUAAAUAGAUGGUAAAUAUAUCAUUAUUUUUUUUUUGUUUUAUUUUGUCUUGUUGCGUGUUACACUUGGGACCCACGUCCCACUUUGAUAUCCUAUUCCCCUCGGACUUGGCUUCUCUGCCCUCCCAAUUCCCAGACACUCUCAUCCCCUCCUAUUUGUGCUGUCAUGGUUAAACCAUGUCAACAUUUUAUAUUACUAUUGCUUUUUGUCUUAUUAUUUCUAUAAAAAAAAUCAAUAUAAAAUGUUGACGUGGCUUAACCGUGACCGUACAAAAUAGGAAGGGAUGAGAAUGUAUGGAAACUGGGAGGGGCAGAGAAGCCGGGUCCAUUCCCCUCUCAUUUUUGUCUCACUUCAGUCAUCCCCCUCUCUAGUUUUGACUUUUCUUUUUUGUCUCCUACUUUCUCUCAUAUUUUGUCAUUGAGUCUCUCUCCUUAGUCUCAGUCUCUCUUAACGAGUUCGAUAUGUGAUGAGAAGGUCCCACUGUUUUACACAUUAAUAUUACUGUGAUGAUAUGUGUGCAAGAAACAUUGGACAACAACUCUACAAGCUGCUCUCAUAGAGAAAUUAGGCUCUUACAUGAGCAUAUAUUAUUUGAUGGAGAAAUUAGGCUCCCGUCCUUAAUUAUUGAUCUUCUUUGAUUAAAACCUUGUUAUUUUUUACUUUUUGAUCAAGGUCCUUGAAGUUUGUACACAUCAGCAUUUUAUUAUCAGCAUAUUUCCAUGUCAGCUUUUUAUUUUUAUUUUUAUUUGAAAUAGUUAAUUAGUGCUUUUUUUUUUAUCUGAGGCUGCAUUUUUAUUCUACGACUAUUAUGCCUCAAAUGCCUCCUAUGCUUACCAAAUUGAAUAUGACGCAUCAAUUCCACCAAAUAAUCCCGCUCACUUGAUUUCUUCUCUUUUUGAUUUUCGUAACUGCAAAUUCCACAAUAAUCUCACUAAGUUUUUCAAAUCCAUCAUUAUUAUCUUUGAUAUGAUGCUUCGAAUUCAAGUUUGGCCAAGAUUUGAAUCGAAGUCAUACUUUAUCUGCGAGCAUUCGAGCGAGCACAAUUUUUUGCAGAGUAACUUGAAGAAUCAAUGACAAUUCCGAGCUAAAAUUCGAGGUUUUUUUUUCUUUUAUAUUUUUUGAAUUUGCACCCAUAGUUCAUUUAUACUGAUUUGUCCGCAAUGGUGGAUUCUUGGUGUUAUAAUUUUCGAACCCAUAUUUACAAGUAGUGUAGUAUUGAUUUCACAAUUGGUUUUGCAUAUGUAAAAUGAUUAUUUUUCAAUAUUUUUUUGGCAUAUAUUGGGGAACUUCAAUGAGUUCAGCAUGUAUCUUGUGGUUUUGCAGUGUUUUUCUGGUGCAUACCAAGUGUUUGUCGAAAUGUUUGAAAGAGAAUUUCGUAUACGAAAAUUUUGUAUGCAUAGAAACUAUUUAUAAAAAUUCUUGAAUAUGUCUUUUUCUCUAUUGUGGUGGGCAUGGGUACAAUUCAAUUUCAUUGGAUACAUUUUUUAACAAUGGAUCAUGUGUUGAUGUGGUGGAAACUACUGAUGUUGUGGAAGUAUAGGUAGGGGUACAACAGAAAUAUAGACCAGAUAAGUCAAGGGAGGACCGGCUAUGGCCGAGAGUUUUUGUCAUCUAUUUUUCUGUUUGACAUAUACCGUAUUUGAGAGGUGGGGGGGGGGGUGGGGAAUUGGCUGUACAAACAGCAAAUAAUAAUGUUCGGUGGAAACUACUGAUGUUGUAGAAGUAUAGGUAGGGGUACAACAGAAAAACAGAGCAGAUAAGUCAAGGGAGGACCAGCUAAGGCCGAGAGUUUUUGCUAUCUAUUUUUCUGUUUAACAUAUACCGUAUUUGAGGGGUGGGGGGCGAGGUGGGGAAUUGGCGGUACAAACAACAAAUAAUAAUGUCCGGUGGAAAUUACUGAUGUUGUAGAAGAAUAGGUAGGGGUACAACAAAAAAACAAAGCAGAUAAGUCAAGGGAGGACCAGCUAAGGCCAAGAGUUUUUGCCAUUAUUUUUCUGUUUGACAUAUACCGUAUUUGAGAGGGGGGUGUGAGGGGAAUUGGCGGUACAAAUAACAAAUAAUAAUUGGACAUGGUUUCAUUCAUCUUUCUAGUUUUCCUUUUGGAAAUUUAUUGCACUUUUCAUGUCAAGCUAGAAUGCUUUGGGUUAAUGUUGUGUCCACUUUCUUUUAUCUUUUCAGAUGGAAGGUGCUAUAGUGGGGAGAUGCACUCAUCAGGGUACCAUUAUAUCUAUCCCAAUUUUUUGCCACAUUACAUUCUCUGAAGUGUACAAUGAGGUUUGCUCAAGGCUCAAUUUGACUCAUGGUUUAUUCGACUUUACAUAUGCUUUACCUAGAUAUUCUACUUGUCUAUUGCAAUAUAAUAUGGACGUGCGGAUGUUGUAUAUGUCGGUUGUCAACGAGAAAUAUUAUUGUGUUGAUAUAGUUAUCAACCAAAAGUCGUGCCGUGACAAUGAUCAUGUCAGCCGAAAUACCAAUGUUUCGCAAACAUUUAUAAUUGAAGGAAAUAUUCACAGCGAUGGGAAUGAGUAUUUAGGAAAUAUGCAACACCAGGAGGCAAGGUAUCUAUGUCAAACUCUUGGAAGACCUACAUUAAUCAUGUAAAUCAAGGAUUUGAAGGUGGAGUGGAAGAAUUCAGAGACAAAAAGAGAAGAAUUGGCAUAAGAAGACUUGAAUAUGUUGGACAAAAAGAGAAGAAUCAGCAUAAGAAGACUUGAAUCCCUAAGAAAGCAAGAACUUGGAAAACCUCUCAUUCCAAGCUCUAGGUGCUUGUUUGAGUCCAUAUAAAGAACUUUCCAAUUUACACACAUACUUAGGAUGUACAGGAUCCAAAAAACCUUGUGGUUGAGCCAUAUAAACUUCUUCAUCAAGAAAACUGUCGCACUCCGGACCCGGAGUCGGUAAUAAAAACUCGAACCCGAAUCUGAAACGUGAGUUAAAAGCUAAAUAAAUAAAAGGAAAUUGACACGAGUUGGAAAAAUAAACUCCUCUUAUUAAAAUAACUCCAAAAUCCUUACAGGAUGUACAAAAGUAAUAAAUUAAAAUCCUUAAAACUCUUAUCCAACACAGCUUCAGCUCGUCUAUCACCUGUCUUGCUAAAUAACAUCUAUCUUGCCAAAUAACUCAUCUAUAAAAUAAUAGGUGAGGGGUGAGCAACAACCACCGUCACUCAGUAAGUAGAAUAUGUAGUAUGCAAGUCAAGCAAUGCCUUUUUAUACACUAAAAAAAAUAGAAUAAUAAUAUCAAAGCCUUAACCACGUAAUUUCAUAUCACAUCAUCCCUUUACAUGUUCAUUACAUCCUUCAUAAAUUGUAACUCACCACGUGACCCCUACUGGCCUUUCCGCCCUAAUGUCCCCGUGUGCAGUUUACAUUUAUCCCUCGGAUUAAUGCAACACUAAAGUUCUCAUGCUCCAUGAACAUAUCCAAAUAAUCCACAUAUCACCAUAUUAAUAAUUCCAAAGGGAUUUCAACAAAUCCAACAUGCUUGACUUAAAAUAGAUAGAGAUUUAUAAAUAUAUAAAACCCACAAUAGUUUGUGGUUUUUAUUUAUCAGAAAAUAAGAAUAUUUUGAAACACAUUACAUAAACCACUCACCUCGAUAAUCCAAGCUUUGGCAAGACAACCUAACUAACAAUCUCCACACAACUAGCAUACUAACCUAAACUCUCUUUCUUGUCUCUCUGUAACCCGAUCUCUCUCCACACACACACACAUAUACACGGACAUACAUGCAUGGCUUCCUAGCAGCCAACAUAUGUUUCCUAAAGUGGUGAAUAAAAGAAUGAAAUGCAACCUCUAUUUAUAGUAGAAAGGGUCGGCUCCCUACAAUGUAAAAUAUAUUAUACGUAGGGAUAGAAAUGUAACUGACGAAUGGCCAGUUGACAAGUGGGUUUCAAGGUGUCGUUGUGCAUGGGGUAGAUGACUUAGGAUUAACACAUGUGGCUUUGCCAACAAUGGUGGAAGCUGGUGGUGUCAAUGGAAUCCCUCAAAACCUCACACCUCAUUGUAAAUAUAACAGUUGUCAAGAAAAUGAAGUGCUACGUGUUGGACUAUGAAGGAAGCCAUCUAAUUGUUGGACACCUCAAAGCAAAAUGGGAUAGACUUCAAUUGCAAGACUACACCUUGCUAAUUGUAAGAAACUAUCGACUAGAAGUUGACAGCAAAAUGCAAAAACUAAUAUGUAAUAUAUAUAUAUAUAUAUAUAUAUAUAUAUAUAUAUAUAUAUAUAUGGAAAAGAAAUACACAAUAUCAUAGUAGUUUCAAAAUACCAUACGUUCCAUAUUUUAAAAAUACGGGUUCUCACAAAAACCAUGAAGAAAUGCAUUUUUCACAUCCAAUUGGUUGAGUUUCCAGCCAUUUGUAGUAGCCAAGGACAAAACCAAUCGUACAGUUGUAAGCUUAACCACUGGACUAAAGGUUUCAUAAUAGUCGAGCCCAGCUUCCUGUGAAAACCCCUUAGCAACUAACCUAGCUUUAUACCGAGCUACAGAACCAUCGGCAUUCUUUUUGAUUUUGUAAAUCCACUUGCAGCCUACAAGGUUCUUGUUUGGAGGAAGAGGAACCAGUUUCUAGGUCUGUUGUUGAACCAAAGCUUGCAUUUCUUCCUUCAUAGCAGCCUGCCAUUCCACAGACUUGGAAGCUGCGGAAAAAGUUUGAGGUUCUGUGCUAGAGAGAUCACCACCAACUUUAGCCGAAAAAACUUUCUUUUUCACAAUACCAGAUUUCGAUCUGGUUUGCAUAGGAUGACUAUUAAGUGUGGACACUAGUACGAACUGUAAUGUAUCAACUUGAGAUGUAGAAGUGUUAGGAUGUAAUUCUGUAUGACUGAGAGACUGUGCAUCAGGUCCAGAAUGAGACACUUGUGUAGUUGAUCUGGGAGGAAGAGAUGCUUGAGGAGAGACAAGGUCACCCGUGUUAUUUGUUGAUGCUGAACUGGACUGAGUAACAGUAGGUGUUGAAUCUCUAGAACCCAUUAAUUGUGACAUUUGAGGUAAAGGUAUAGGUAUAACCAGAGGAUGUUCAAAAGUGUUAAGAUGUACAACAGCACUAGGAGUAGGAGAUGAUGCAUGACUGGAAGAAGAAUGUAAUAAUUUUGUACUAGGAAAUGAUGCAUGACUGGAAGAAGAAUGUAAUAAUUUUGUACUAGGAAAACUAUGUUCAUCAAACAAAACAUGUCUUGACACAAGAAGUUUAUGAGUGCUGAGAGAAAAACAAAUAUAACCCUUGUACUGUGAAACACACCCAACAAAUAUACAUUCUGUAGUUUUUGGAUCUAACUUAUUGCUCCUAUAAGGUCUCAUGGAAGGAUAGCAAGCACACCCAAAGACUCUCAAGUGUUCAAGUGUAGGUGGAGACUUAAACAGACAUUCAAAAGGAGAUUUCAUGUGAAUAAUAGGUGUAGGCAUCCUAUUGAUUAGAUAGGCAGUAGUGGCACAAGCAUGAAACCAAAAAUAAGAAGGCAUGGAUGCUUUUUGAAAUAAAGUAAUAGCAGUUUCCAACAGAUGCCUAUUUUCCUCUCAGCCAACCCAUUUUGUUCUGGGGUAUAAGGACAAGACAUUUGAUGAACAAUACCCUUAUCCCUAAGAAAUGCUUUGAAAGCUAAACCCACAUAUUCACCCCCACCAUCACUUUGAAGUGUUUUAAUAGUUGUAUGAAACUGAAUUUUAACAUAGGCAACAAACUGAGCAAAAACAGAUAGAACUGCAGCUUUAUUGAUAAUAAGGAAAACCCAUGUAUAUCUCGUAAUUUCAUCCACAAAGGACACAUAAUACCUAAACCCUUCUGAAGAUAUAAUUGGAGCAGGACCCCAUACAUUAGAAUGUAUUUCUUCAAAAGGAAGAACAUAUUUUGAAGCAACACUAGGGAAAGGUAAUUUGGAAAACUUGCCUUGCAAGCAAGAGAUACAUGUGGUUGAAUCUUUAUUACAGGGAAUAGAAAUGGAGGAAUUCCUAGGUGCUGCAGUAGUAAUAGCAUUCGAAUGAUGCCCUAACCUACAAUGCCAAAAUUCAAAGGACACAUUUUGACCCAAAAAUGCAGCUGGAGUAGGCAUUUGUGAUUUGGAAGACUUGAGAAUUGGAAUUGGGUAGACUGCGUUGUUACUCAGUCCGUGAUAUAACACUUUCCUGGUGACCUUGUCCUGUAUACAAAUAGAGAACUCAUCAACAAUACAGCGACAUGUGUUGUCUUUACACAAUUGGUACAUAGAAAGCAAAUCUUGAGACAAUUUAGGAACAUGUAAUACAGAAUUAAGCUGAAAUGUAUGCAAUUUGGUGGGGAAAACAGUGUUGCUAAUAUGAGUAAUACUUAAACCUUCACCACCAGCACCAAUGAUUGUCUCAGUUGAUGGAUAAGGAACUGCAGAUUGAAGAUUAGCAAUAUCUGAAGUCAUAUGGUUGGUUGCACCAGAAUCAACCAGCCAAAAAUCUUGGUGAGGUGCACUUGGAGACAAAUUGGCCCAGGCUUGCAUAUCAACAGGCUGAAAUGAGUGAUAUUGAAGAGGUUGCUGCACUAGUGAUCUAGAGGAAUAAUAACCAGAUGGAACUCCAAUAGAGGAAGAUGGAUGUACAUGAAACUAUUGAGAGGAAGAACUAGCCAUAGGAAACUGUGAGGAAGUGACUGAAAAAUGUUGUGAAGAAGAAACAUUCUUGUCAAAACAAGUAGCUGCAGCAUGUCCUUUUCUGUGACAGAUUUGACACCUAUUCUGAAAACAGUUGAGAGCCGAAUGACCUUUCUUGUCACAAAUUUGACAAAUUUGAAAAGGAUUAUAGGCUGAACCAGAGUGAGAUUGAAUAGGAAAGAAACUCUGAGAAUUAUUUGCACCAUACAGAGACUGUGGUGCAGAUUGAGAACUUGAGUAAAACCGUUUGCCCUUGCCUUUAGACUUGAAAUUAUUAUUACCUCUGAAGUUGUUAAAUAAACAAGAGGCAUAUUGAGAAGGGAAAACACACGGUGGAUUAUCAGGCAUAGUUAUCUGAAUAGGUACUGGAUGUGGAAAUCCAGGCAUUGACAAAGUUGAAAAUCCUGACAUAGACAUCUGGGAAUGAGGCAAAGAAGUCCCAAUGUGCAUUCCAGCAUGUCCCGAAGACUGACCUUGAUCAUAUGUAACUCGACCCUGAGCAUACAUAGCAGACAUUAAAGGAAUUUGCUUGUGAACUUCAUCUAGUGUAGAUUCUUCAGCCUUCAAUUGAGAUAUGAGUUCUUUCAAGGACACCAAACUUUCCCUGCCACGAAUUACAACUUUGAUGGUGUGGUAUUUAGAUGGUAAACCCCGUAAAGCCAUAAUAACAAUAUCUUCAUCAGAAAUAGUCACUCCAAUAGCAACCAAUUGAUCUUUAGAAUCCUUGAUCCGCUAAAGAUAUUGAUCAAUUGACUCAUGCCCUUUUUUAAUAUUUUGUAAGUCAAUUUUCAUCUGCACAAUGCUAGUACGAGUGACACUAGCAAAUCGUUCAUGAAGAUUAUCCCACAUUUCCUUGGAACUCUAGCAGCCAAUGAUGCAGGACAAUGCAGAAGUGGAUAAAGUAGCAGCAAUAAGAGUCAUGAGAGCUUUAUCAUGAAUCUUCCAUAUUUUAUAUGCAUCAGAGAUGACUGGAGUAAUGUCAACAGUACCAGCCACAUAAUUAUUAUCCUCAAAUUUCUUAGGACAAGAAAUUGAGCCAUCAACAAAACCAAUUAUACCAUUUCCUUCCAGAAGAAGAUCCAUUUGGAAAUUCCAGGUAACAUAGUUAGAGUUAUCUAAUUUCACUGUCACAAUGUUGCCUACACUCAUAAUUAAUGAGGAAAUUGGCAAUUGAGUAAGAGCCAACUGAUUAGGGUUCACCAUUGUGUAUAGCCAAGAUUACUUCACUACACAUAACACUUCAAAAUCGCCAAAUAAAAAAAACACAUAAAGCAUCACUAGGAUUCAAAAACCACAACCACCAGAUUGAAGGGAAAAAUAAUGAGAUUCUAGAAUGGGAUUUCAAAUAGACUAUCAUGCAUAUACAAAUCAAAUUGAAUAUACGAAAGCAGCAGAAGCAUUUAUAACAUAUUAUCAAAGCUAUAGUCAUGCAAAUCCCCUUCAAGGUUCAUAGGUUUAUAUAGACAAAAGAAACCUAGUCAACACUUGACUAAAUAUCUCACCCUUUCCACCUUAAAGUGGCCGGCCUCAAAACAUUUUAAAGAAUCAAGAACAAAGUGAAGGUUAGUCUUAUACCUCUUGAUCUAGACUUGAGACCAAGGAUGGACCACCUCCAAGCCCUUUGCUCCUUGAAAUCCUUGAGCCUAGCUUCCCUCCUUGCCUCCUCCACUUUGAUAAAAUGAGUGCUCCUAGGUUCUCUUCAAGUUUCCAAAGUAGGAAACCUCUAAAGAUCCUCACCCAUUAGUGUAGUGAGAAGGAUGAAGGAAUAACCAAAAGGGUGUAAGAGAUGUUAGUAAAAACCCCCUUUGGUGGCCGGCCUUUGUGUAGUUUAGAGAGCUAUUUUUCUUUUGCCUCUUUGUUGUUUUUAACACACAAAAACCCUAAUGAACAAUAUCUUAUAAAGUUCCUUAUAUAGACAAAAGAAACCUAGUCAACACUUGACUAAAUAUCUCACCCUUUCCACCUUAAAGUGGCCGGCCUCUUUGUUGUUUGUUUGGGCUUUGGGCUUUUAUUAUUUCAAGUCAUCCAAUGCUUGAAUAAAAGCCCAAUGGAUUUAGGCCCAAUGGGCCCAAUUAAACCCGAACGUUUCUUAAGCCCAAAACGAUCUUUAUCGCUUUUAUGAUUUCUUUAGACUUUCUAAAUUAAUCACAACAAUCAAUUAAUCCAAUUAAUUAUUUCCAUCAUCCAUUAGUUACUCACUACAAUAGUGUUGUGGCGAACAAUCUUUUAGGUUCUAAUUAGCAAGGCAGUGAGGUGAUUGGCAUCAAUCCAAUUGCUUAUAUUUAAUUCAAUCACUUAGUGAAUUAAAACUUCAUUUUAAUUCACCUUUCUUCUUUGACGACUACAUUUAAUCAUCUAGAAGAACUCACAAGCUAUGAGUGACAUCUAACCAUAUGUCAUAGCUACCCAAACUAAUGUAGAAGUUUAUUCGAAGAACCUAGUCAGUUGGAAUUAUAAUGUAAUUCAAUCCUUCUCUAAUUCAAUACUCUCAAUCACAUCAUUAGGGUAUGGAUAUAUCAUGUCAAACCCCUAAUGUGAUUAUUCCUUCUUAUAUGAUCCAAUUGAGUCGUAUAGGAACGCUUUCCUUUAUUACGCUCGAUACUUCGGCCGAAGAUUCCCGAAUCAUAUCUUAGAGUAUUCUUCCUCUCUUAUCGAGGAUUAGAGAUUCCUUGUUGCGCAUACACUUGCCUUCAUGACUAAGUGGCUUAACCACAACUAUGCCGUUGACAUUCUGAUAGAGUGACGUUGACAUAAUCAAAGAUUAAGUACUUAACCACAAGACAACGGCGAUGCCUCAGGUCAAAGGACUACUUACAUUAUUCCAACCAUUAGAGUUACUUGCUUGACAUGUGAGUAGACCUCCAUGCAAGUACUCUCUUUCGAUUGUGUUCAGUGAACUCAUUCCCUUAAUGAGCACCUACAUACUUGUCUUAGUGUCACAACACGAAUGGGAUGAGACUUUCCAUCCUUCCAAUUGAAGCGGACACAGUAUGUACCGGUCUAAGCAUUGUCAGUAUCCCUCCGACAAUCCAACGACCAGGAACCUUUUGGACAUAAUGGUUAUGUGAAGAAGGUCUCUGUAGUCUAACUUCAUUAGAUUACUUCUUCAAUCGAUCCAUUGUCCAUGGAUUCACUAUUCAGGACAUAUAUUGUUUAUUGAGAUAGUCCUAAUUAGUUUCUUUGCCAUUUGAUGUAUAAGAAUCAUCCAUACAUCGAUUCAUUUGUCCUGAAAGAUUUCUUCCAAAGAUUGACUUUCAGGGCAUAUUUCCAACACAGAUAGCCGCAAAUCUUUGAACAUGCACAAUAUUGCAGAAAGAACACAACAAUUCGAAAGAAGCACAAGUACGAAAUCGAAUCAGAAAGUAGAGAAUCACAAUUAACAGAUGCAAGAGAGAGGAAGAAACACCUUGCAAGCGACAACAACGAACGCAGAAGUAACCAUCGGCUUCUACCAUGACUGUACACCAAAAUCCGCAAAUCUUAGGGUUUGAGCACCAACUUCGAUCGAACACCACUGACUUCAAUCGAAACACCACCGACGUCAAUCACCACUAACAACACAGCACGGAGCGACAAAAAAAGCAAGAGAUGAGCGGAAGCAACCAGGUCGUCAAUCGAUGACGGUGGCCAUGAUAGGCGAUGAUACCAUGUCAACUAUGAAGAAUUGUAGGAAGCAAUUGUAGAGUGAGAAAGUUAACAAACAGGAGAGAGAUACUGAAUAUUCUUUUUCUCAUUAAAAACCCGAUAAUUACACUUCAAUGUGGUAUAUAUAGUCUAUACCAGAGAACAACAAUUCUAACUAACUUUAUAAAACAAUCAAUUACAAUAUAAUACAUGUCACAUAUCCAACCAUUCUAUCAAUACAUCUGUCAUCCUAACAGCGACCUUAGGUUCAGAUGCAUUCACUGAAGUCAUUGUAGGUGCCAUUGGUGGAGGGAGAUUGAAAGAAGCUGAGAAUUCUAGUCUUUAAUUUGUAUGUCUAGAAGGAAAGUUAAUUGUUUGAGUGGUGUGGAGAAAUAUGGAAAAGGGAGUUGGUAUUUAUAGAGCAGGAUGGCAAGAUAAUAUAUGACCGACUUUAGUCGUGAGAAGUAUUUACAACGCAAGCACCCUUAUGGUCUUAACCCCAUAAGGUGGAGGUUUUUGAAUAAGUUGGCUAACGAUGACCUAAGUUUCAAAUUUGUUGUCCAGCUGCAACAAUAAAAUAUAUAUUAGUUUGUUGUUAACCACCAUGUAUAUGGAAAAUAUUAAUUCUUUAAAGACCAUGUAACUACAUUUAAAUUAUUUCUCUAAUAGAGAUGAGACACACUUGUUAGCCUUAUUAGGUUAUACAAUUAAGACACAAACGAAAGAGUGACUGACCUAAUUCCAAUGGCGGCCAUGGAAGUUGAAACCAAAAGUAGUAGAGCACGGCAACACCAGGAUCUUCUAUAAGCUACAACUACUCUAUGGGAAGCAUUGUAUUGUGUUAUCUAAGGCUUAUAGGGACCGGUGUUUAUAUAUAUAGGCUAAAAGAUAGGGUUUCCAUCCAUAAAGGAAAUCUAAACUUACUUUCUUAGCCUCUAAGUUAAGUAUCAUAAUUAUAAUCAAUUAGGGAUUCCAUCAAUCCUAUUUCCAAUAUAAGACACAUGAUAUAUGAUUAAUAUCUUUAAGAGAUCGAAUCAUAAUCAACAUUAUUUCUCCAAUAUGACAUUCCUAUUACAUGUAGUAGACCAGUUAAAGGUUGAUUUGUAUUGGAUAAAUCCAACAUUCUCCCACUUGGUCUACAAAAUGUAAUAUUCAUGUUUAUACUUGAGAUUGGAUACUAAUGUCUCUUUAGUGGCCAUGUAAUAGUGAUUACAUCUCGUCCUUAAUGCAGUUUCUGUCAAAUGCAUUUCUCAACAUGGAACUAACAAGGUUGUAGGGUUGACACAAUCUAGAACCUUCAUAAUCACACAUGCUAAGAUCCUCAUUCACAUGAAACACAAAUUAUGAUCAAGAGAUGAAACUUUAAAUAAACUUUAAGUUAACCAAAAUGUCUUACUUUAUAUCAUCUCAGGUCCAUCUUAUUGUAACACACAGGUUACACUUUUACACUUCUUCGAAGCCUUAAAUCUGCCAAUGCAGAUAUCCUUCAUCUAAUGAAACCACCAUAACCUGUAGGCGUGAAUACAUCUCAAAACAAUCUCACUUCACUUUCAUUAGACCAAUAACAAGCACACAGACAAUGUUUGAAGCCAACGGACACAACUAAAAGUACCAAAUAGGCACAUGUCCAAGUAAAAUACCCAGAAGCUUCGUAAAACAAACUAAUCCAACACUUAUAAGUAGAUGAAUUAACAUGUUUUUGACAUUGAUCUAUGCACUUUACCAGUUACUUUAAUGGUGAUUUCCAACACCUGCGAGCAGAUUGAAAUCCUCACAACUGACGCAUAGACCAUGCCAUGCCAUUUAGUAUGCAGUUUGAUAACAACUUGAUAUCCAACAUAUGUUUCAUCAGAUAAAUGACUAGCACACAAAAAAUGUGACUUAAUGAAUCUAGCUGAAGAUUAAACUGAAUACAUGGAUUCUAUAUAUACCUUAUAGGUCAUCUGCAAAUGUAAGGCAUUACUAACACAAAACUCAACCUCCCACUGAUCUGCAACAUCAUUACUUAAUUUGCUAGUCAAUACUUAAAUCAUAUUUUUGAAAAUAUGCCUUUGGGAAUAGCCUUACUUGGUCAAUGAAUGCAUAUUAACUCAAUGAAAGGUACAACUAAGCAUGGAAGCAUUCACUGCUGUUACACAAAAACAUGCAUCUAACAACCAUCUUAUAUGUAUUAAUAAGUCCACAUUUAUGCUAAGUCCUUGUGAGCCUCAAAACAAAUGAUCAACCAAGAAAUCCAAAUGAUUGCAAGUAAUAGAAAAAUGUACGCAUAUACCAAGUAUCCAUUCGUGCAACUUAAACAUAUUAUAGAUAUUCGAGUAACACAAAUUCAUGGAAGAUAGAAUAACGCUUUAAUAGAUUCAUGCAAGUCCACUUAAUGCUCACAAUUUUAGAACAACUCCCACUAAGUUUUCAGAGUUUAUACUUGCAAAUAAGUUAACGAGUGUAAAGCCCAAUUUUUUUCACUAAUUCUCCCACUUGGGUAAACACUCUUUCAAGUAUGUACCUAAAUAAAAUUGCCUUAUAUUUUAGACGUAAUAAAAUAGACAUUACAAUCAACAUAAAGUUGUCAAACAGAAUUUUCAGCAACAAGUUACACUUUAUUUAGAAUUAAUCAUAAUUAAUUUAUAAGCUUGAUUGAUACCAAAUUUAUACUGAUCAAAAUAGACAUACAAAUCUUCAUAAGACAAAAAUAUGGAGCUGUUUUGGGUCAAAGUAGUAGUCUAAAGUGACGUCUCAAAAAGAUCAACACAAUAUGUCAGUAAAAACUGUCUAUAUGAGCAUGGGUUACUAGUAAAUUCACCAUAAUUAACAUACAUGGCAGAAAAUUACGAAAAUUUGCAGACACAUAGUAGACAUCUAUAUGUUGAACAUAUCCAAAAUUCAGUUAACUUGGUGACCAUUAGACGUGUCAUUCAUCCAAUUUAAUUCAAGUCACGUAAUCUGCCAGAAACAAUUAUGUUCAUCUAUCAUGAAUUUAUGCAUCCAUAACAAAUUCAAUUUCAUAUCAUUUCAAUUUCAAUGUCCAAAAGAAACUUUAGUAGUCAAAUUUCAUCGUCUCAACCGACAUCAUAAUUCAAAUUGAAAAGAUUUACAAGCAUAAGAUUUAAACAAUGCGUACCUUAGCAAUCCUUGAUUAACCUUCAUGGGUCCAAUACUUUGCAUCAACAAGUCUCAUGAAGAGACACAAAAUACGUCAUGAUGCAACUGAUUUCUAUGCCUUAAAACCACAACCUAUUAAGGCCAAAAGCCUCACGCGCCCACGAUGAAUAGGGGGGGGGCUUUGGCCAAAGAACCUCCGAUGCCAAAGUUAGAAUUUUAGAGAGAAAAAGUGUUUAGAGUGUUUAGGAUUUUUUGUAAGAGAAUUGGAAUUGGCUUUUUGGUGAGAAAUGAGAGUAUAUUUAUAGGGAUAGGAGGUGGCUAGGGUUUUUUGGGUUUGAUUUAGGUUUAAUUAGCCAAUUUAUUUUGCUAUUAAACAUAAAAUGAAUGUUUUGGUGGUUUUUUGUAUAAUUGGCUAAUCAAUGUCACAAAAAAGGAAAAUUAUGGUGAAAAAAGAAGGAAAUGGCCGGCUCCCUUUGGAGAAGGGAUAACCGGCCUUUAGGGUGAUUUUUGGGCUUAAUUUGGUGAUGUAAUUAGCCUUUAAUAUAUUGAUUAUAUUAAUUGGUUGAGGAUGUUAUGGAAUGUUUGAAAUAAAUGGCUAAUUGAAUAAGGAAAAAAUGAGGUAAAAACAUAUAUGGAAUAAAAUAGGUUUUGAAUUGUUACCCAUUUUGGGUACUCCUGACUUGGUUGAUGGAUGAUUCUCCACUGCUCGGGUGUAGGAAACCCAGUAUGCCUCGAGGGUAUUUUUGUCCUCUUUUGUCCAAAAGUCCAUGUGUCGCCUAGUGAAUAUUUUUGGCUCCACAAAUGCCCCCACACCUGUUGGGCUGCUCGCAGAAAAGGGCAGCAGGUGUAGAGAUCUUCUUGCUUUAGGAAACUUAAGACUGCUUCCUAUUUUGAUGUAUAUUCUCUCUUUAAUAGGAAAUUAGAUCCUUCUAGGAAAGGGAAAUAAAUUUCUCUCAAAGCCUAUUUAAAUCCACCUUAAGUGGGUUAUUAAAUCAACUUUGGAGAGCGAUUUAUUCUACCCUACAAGAGAGAGAUGGCUUAGAGGAUAUUUGUUCCCCCUCCUCUAGCAAUCUUCUACAUCUUGCCCAUGCAAAGGACCGUAUUUCGUUGAUUUCUUCGUCUUCUUCGUGGAUGGUGCUACCGCGGGGCAGCCGUCGGGGUGGUGCGGCACGUCGGCUGGCAUGGGCCAGGAGUCGACUCGGUAUGGGCCGAUGAGGUAUUGUGGUAGGGACCACUGCUUUAAGCUGCUCGACUUGGCUAGAACCAAGGGCAGCUUGUGUGGCUGGGGCCUCGGAUUGUGGCACUGGGGCGCAGUGCUAGGCAAGUCAUAUGGCUUAUGUCCUUUUAGGCUUUUGGACAUGACGCGAGUUAGGCCGGUGAUUGAGAGAAAUGAAGAGGUUGCAGUCCUCAUGAGCUGCUAGAAUGUUGGGUUGAACUUCCCUGCUAGGUACCACGAAUGACAUUGGUUAUUUUAACUUUUUUCGUCAGGAGAAACGUGGGCUGCUCCCAAAAGAGGAGGUGAAUAGGAUCAAAGUGGAUGUACUGGCUCGUCCAAUCACCAUUGUGGAUCCCGCUGCAACUGAAGGUGGGAAAAUGGAUAUUCUCUGCUUGCUCAAGAGAUGCCGGCUGAGAAAAAACCAAAGACUUCUUUCGCUGCUCGAGCUGGUUCGCCGACUACUUCCAGGCUUGUGAUUGACUUGACUUUUUCCAAGGGGACAAAAAAUGAGGCUUCUAGAUCUGAGCAUGUGGCGCCUGCCAUGUCAAGAAUGGCUAGUACGAUUGCUGAUAGGAUUGUUCGGCAUAAAGGUCUUGUCAUGCCCUUAGUGCCGAAUUUUGUACCAAGACGUCUGUUGGGAGCUAAGUCCAGUUCACCUUUGGAGAGGCUUGCUAUUAUGAAAAGCGAUAAGGUGGACUCUACUGCUAAAGUGGCGUCAAGGCCCAUUCCUUAGCUGCUGAGACUGAUUCGCCUGUUGGGAAUGAGGAGACUGCUCGCGUAGGCAGCUGUGAGAAAUCCACUAAACCUGCUUCUGAGGAGGCUGCUGAGAUCUAUGUGCUUUUGAAACCAGAUCUCUUGAAAACAUGGAUGCUUGUGCCAAGUUUGUUGAUGACGUCAGAAAGGUUGUUUGCCCAAGCUCGUUUGCGAAGCAUACGACCCAAUAUAGAAGGACCGCUCUGCUUGUUAUGAUGCAAAUAUAGCAAGGCUGCUAAGGAGAUGGCAAAUACUAUGGCAGAUUCUAAGCUCGUUGCUUUGAAGGGGUCUAAUAUUUCUGCCCCCACUUCUCUCAGAUUCAAGAUCUUAAGUUUGCAGUUUCUGAGCUUCGUUUCGCUGCUUAUGCUAAGAAAUGAGUGGAUGAGCUGCAGCGCGUCCGUGUUAGUCUGCUUAAGAAGAAUGAGCAGCUGAAGGGUGAGAAGGAUGGGCUUGAGGUUUUAAGACCUUCUCUAUUUCUCCGGAAGACUUGCUUGCUUUUACUUUUAAGGCUUCCAUUGGUGAAGUAGUUGGAGAAGUUAGUGCCCAGGCUGGGGCAGCCGGGGGUGAAGCGCCGGAUGAUGCCGCUGCUAAGAGCGUUACGGCUGCUGAAGGUGUGGCGACCGAGUAGUCGUGGGAUGUCCAAGCUGCUGUAGUGUAAUAUUCUAAGUAGCCUUUAGGAUUUUCUUUGUUUUUCCUUAUAGCUCUUGUUUUGCUUGAACUCCUUCGGCCUUUGCUAGUUAUUUAUAAACAUGUUUUCCUUCGUUUUUCUUCAUCUUCGCUUCUUUUGUUCAUGCCCUAACCUUUAGACUUGAUAGACCAGUGGCAGGCAUGCUACUUUUUUAUAAGCAGACAAGCUCGCGUAGCCUAUGCAGCCGUAGAUGUUGGUGUAGAACUUUGCAAAGUUGUUAGCCAUAGGGUUGGCAGCCGGAUGCCUUACUUACAGAAGCAGAUAAGUCCGCGUAACCACUAGGCUGUUAACCUUGACUUUCUUCAAUUCCGUAGGUUGCGUAGCAAGUAUCACAACACUUUAGGACUUGGUGUAGGUUGUUCCGCGCUUGACAGAGGUGAAGCUUAUCGACUACGUAGCAUGUCGGCAGUGGAUAAAACUUCGUAUAUGCGCGCUAGCUUGUUUAACCUUUCACAAGAAUGUGCGGUUGUAUAAGUCUAGCGCUGCUUUACAGCUCGAAGGGCAAGCCGUAGGCAGUCUUCCGGAAUCCGUAGGCUACCUUAGUGCACUCGGUAGCAGCUUUAGGGUUCCAGGGCAGCCGUCUAUAGGGCGUACUACGUAAUGUGCCCCCUCCGUCUCUAGGGCCCGAUUCCCCACGGAUUAGGCCAAGAGACCCAAAAUCCUUCAGUUAGCUAAGCCUUGAAAAAGACCAUUGUGGCUACUUCUAGGAAUCCCGGCGCAAGCCAUCGUGCAUCUAGUUACACUAGGGCAGCCAGGCUCAUCCACGUCUGGAUAUUCGGAGUGUAAAGUUUAUCCUCCCAUCUUGGAGAGCUAACCCAUAUGGGUGUCGGGGAAUUGGUUUACCCUCUCGCACUGGAGAGCAUGGUUGGUCCCUCGGGGGGCACAAUUCUUGCGAUGAGUCCCUAAGAAGGGCGCAGUCUUCUUUUGAAAUGCAUAAGUGAUUAGUUGUUGUAAGCAUGCAGCCGAGCCAAGUUGUGAUUACUUCUAAAUUCCUCAUUGAAAAACAAGUGAAACGAACGAGAAUUUAGCUGUAAGGUAGGAAUUGCAUAACAACUGGAUAGUCCUCAGCUUGUGAGGUGGUGCCCGUCGAGCUUUUUGAGUCUUCGGGCUUUGAUGUAGUGGGAGGUCACACACAGUACUUCUUCAGAUUGUAGGCGCUCCACUACUUUUCGAUCAUUUUAUCGUUUCAUGGUGGCGAGGGUGUAAUUACUCUUGCCGCCUACUCUGCUGAUUUUGUACGGACCUUCUCUAUGGGCAAUGAUGAAGGCUUUUCUUAGGACUAGAUCUCUGGGCUGGAAUUGCUGCUGGUAACCUGCGAUGCGAGUGAAGUCUACUCGCACUUCUCCUCUGCCAGAUUUAAGCUUGUGGCCAUCUCAUUUCGGUUGCUCGUCUUUUGGUGGUGCGAUAUGCCCAUAGACAUCUAGGGAGUUCAUCUGGCCAUUUUCUUUUCUUAUUGGUGGAGGAUUUCUUGUGACAGUCGAGGAUCAUCUUGGUGGAUACUUUGGCCCGCCUAUUGCCUUAAGAAUAUCUUGGCGUAGACAUGUGCUGCUUGAUGCCAUAUUUUUGGAAGAACUUCGCCAAAUCUUUGCCCAUGAAUUACGGGCCGUUGUCGGUGACGAUGGAUUAAAGGAUGCCAUAUUGACAAAUGAUGUUCCUCUAUAUGAAACGCUCUAUGUCCGUCUGAAUCGUGGUCAUCAUGGACUUUGCUUCUACCUAUUUGGUGAAGUAGUCGGUUGCCACGAUCGUCAUGCCUUUGCCCCCAGUAGUCUGGCUGGUGAUUAGCUGGGAAUCGGAAUAAAUUGAAAGCUUUUCACCGCCAAGUCUUUUGUCAUUCGAAAGCCUGCUAGUAGGGCUUCAUACUCUGCUUCGUUGUUAGAUGCUUUGAAGCUUAGAGUGAUCGCCUACUCGAGCAUUAAAACGUCUGGGGUGGUAAGAACCACGGCUGCUCACGAGCUUUUGUAGUUGGAUGCGCUAUCGACAUGCAAACGCCAGAAAUCUCCAUUGAGGGAGCAGGUGUGGCUAAAGUGUGCUCAGCUGCCUUCGGGACGCCAUUGGGCCGUUCUGUUGCAUUGUCAAGGCUAGGCUUGAAGGCGCGGUAGGGAGCCGUGGAGCUGGGGCCAUGUUACAUGUAGCAGGAGAUGCUCAACUUCUGGUAUUAGGCCACUCUAGAGUUGAAUCUUCUGGGGCGACGAGGACAAAACUUGCUUCUGAGUGUUCCUUCUAGUGUUCGUCUACCAUUGACGUGUCUUUUGGGCCGAGUUGUUAUGUUCGUCAGAAAACUUUGCAUCAGCCAGGGUCUAUGCCUUUAUCGUCGCAGGUUUGGAUUCGGCGGAAUAAUGCGUCAUGAUGAUGACUGCGUGCAUUUGAAGGUAAAACUUAAGCUUUUGGGUUACAACAACUAUCGCCAAAGUUAGCUUUUGAAUUUUUAAUAGCAUCGAGAAGAGCUUUUGAACUGUAGAAUACAGGUAACUGUAGAAUAUAGGUAGUCAGGCCCCAGCUCUUCUCGCAUGAUGGUAGAGCUUAUUGCUACUUUAGAUACCGUCAACAUGCGAAUAAGUCCUCCGUUGCUACUAUGGAGGUGAUGUCGGGUACUUCUUCAAGUCCUUGAAUGUGCAUUGGCGAUCCUCAUCCCAGAGUGCAUGCUUCUCUGCCAAAGCAAAAGAGUCUGCCAAAGUUAGAUCUUCUUUCAUGAUCAAUUUUCCGAGUAGAGGGUGGUCUGCUGGAAGUCCUUUUUGGAAGGCUGCUCUAGCUAUCGAGUCGUUGCAUCCGACUAUUUUUGCCUUCUCUACUUUGAACCUCCUCACAUAGUCGCGAAGCGACUUCUUUGGGUUCUUCUUGACGUCGAACAAAUGGUCAGACUUCUUUUUGAUCGAGCGAUAUGAUGAAUAUUCUCUGGUGAAAACCAAAGAAAGUUCGUAGAAAUUUCGGAUGGAUUGUGGCGGCAGGGUGUAAAACCAAUCUUGCGCCUCGUCUUGUAGAGUGGUGGCGAAUAUCUUGCACAUAAGAUCAUCGUUGUUUGGAUAAAGGAUCAUUGCGCUUCGGUAGCGCUUCAAGUGUCUCUCCGGGUCUUCAUCCCCUUUGAAAGAUGUGGAAUGUGGCAUGCUGAAAUCGCGUGGAGGCUCUGCCUGCUCGAUCUCGUCCGUGAAGGGUGACCUUCUUAUGUUGGUCAUGUUCCGUCGUAGUGCCUCGUCGGUGACCUCGUUACGUUGGAAAUCAUGCAAUCGUUUGGUCAAAAGUCUUUCUACUUCAUCCUGAAUUUGCCUUUGUUGGGGUAGCGGAGCUCUCGGCUGCCCACAGCCAUGACUUGUUGGUCUAGGCUGCUCUUCCAUGUGUUUGGCUCGUCUAUGCCGCGGAUGCAGUGCAUAUGGUGCGUUCCUAGCAGGCCAACGAGUUCUUCGCAGGUUGCUGGUUGAACUUGAGCUGGAUUGAGUGACUGCUUUUCUCCGUCCGUCGGGCUGCCUACUCCGAUGUGAGGUGGAUGAUGCUCCUUGCGGGUUUAGCCGCAAAUGAACACUUCGCCUGGAAGGCUGCUCAUAUUGGCUAUUGGAGUGUGACCCUAACCAUGAAUGUAUGCUCGUUUGUGGGCCUAGUCGAGAGUGCACGCUCCUCCAUGCUCUAAGAUGGGAGUAUACGCUAUCUCGGGGGCCCAAUCAGGAGUGUAUACUGCCUGAACGCUCCGUUCGUUGCUGGUCGAGUGGCUGCUUACCGGGACGCUGCUGGAGAGGUUCUUUGUCUGCCCUUGUCCUACUUCGGAACAUCUCGUCUGGGGCACGUUGCAUCUCGGUGCGUUGCAAGAGCCGGUUCACCAAGGUCGUCUGCUGUGCGAGGACGCUUGUCAACUCUAUGACCUGUCGUGACAAGUGUUGUUCUCCAUUUGGGUUGGAAGAGCUUGGAAGGAAUGUGCCUCCUUGGGCAAUGGAAGAGUGGUAGACUCCGGGCACGAGAUUUGAGUUGGGAAAUGUCAAAUUCGUGAAAAAAUAUGGUGAGAAUGCCCCCGGCUCGAUGGUAGGUCCGGAUGGUUGAGAUAGUCUUGGGCCGACUUGGGCUGCUUGGAAAACCACUGGAGCAGGAUGGGCCGUGAGAGUGGGCUGCUCGACGGAAGCAGGCUGGACCACGGGAGUGGGCUGCUCGUCGGGAGCAGGCUCGGUCACGAGAGCAGGCUGCUUGGCAGGAGCAGGCUGGGCCACGGGAAUGGGCUACUCGACGGAAGCAGGCUGGGCCACGGGAGUGGGCUGCUGGACGGAAGCAGGCUGGACCACGGGAGUGGGCUGCUCGUCGGGAGCAGGUUGGGUCACGAGAGCAGGCUGCUUGGCGGGAGCAGGCUGGGCUGGGAGAGCAAGUUGCUUGGCGGGGGCAGGCUGUUUAGUAUGUGAUGCAUGCGAAUGCGAGGCUUGGGCCCAGGCCUAUGCAAACUUGGAUGGCACGACUUGGGCUGUGGCCUUGGUGCCGUAAGCCUUGGAUGACACUGCUCGAGCCGUGGUGAAGGCUCCAUGGACCUCUCCACGGGUGGCUACUGAGGUAGCCACCGUGGUGGUUCCCAUGGUGGAAACUCGUGGUGGUGGUGCUGCUCCACUUAUUGUCGCAUUUAGCCUCACGGAUCUCCGCAAUCCCAUUUCUUGAACAUUAGAAUUUUCACUUGUGGAAAUUUCUAAAUUUCUAGCCAUUAUAUUUUGCUUAUACGUUUUAUCAAAGAACCUUUGCAAGUAAAAAAAUUCUAAUAAUAAGAAUGUAUGAAAAAUUUUCAAAUGGACUAGAAAAUAAAGAAAAAACCUUUUUGUGCGAGAGUCUUCUACGAGUAUGGAUUUCAACUCUCAAUGAAAGCACCAAUUUGUGGAUGCAAAUUUUCUCCUCUUCGAUCUUGGACGAUUUUGCACCUACAAAACAACUAGCACCUUAGGUUAAGGCCAAAAGCCUCACGCGCCCACGAUGAAAUGGGGGGGGGGGCUUUGGCCGAAGAACCUCCGAUGCCAAAGUUAGAAUUUUAGAGAGAAAAAGUGUUUAGAGUGUUUAGGAUUUUUUGUAAGAGAAUUGGAAUUGGCUUUUUGGUGAGAAAUGAGAGUAUAUUUAUAGGGAUAGGAGGUGGCUAGGGUUUUUUGGGUUUGAUUUAGGUUUAAUUAGCCAAUUUAUUUUGCUAUUAAACAUAAAAUGAAUGUUUUGGUGGUUUUUUGUAUAAUUGGCUAAUCAAUGUCACAAAAAAGGAAAAUUAUGGUGAAAAAAGAAGGAAAUGGCCGGCUCCCUUUGGAGAAGGGAUAACCGGCCUUUAGGGUGAUUUUUAUGCUUAAUUUGGUGAUGUAAUUAGCCUUUAAUAUAUUGAUUAUAUUAAUUGGUUGAGGAUGUUAUGGAAUGUUUGAAAUAAAUGGCUAAUUGAAUAAGGAAAAAAUGAGGUAAAAACAUAUAUGGAAUGAAAUAGGUUUUGAAUUGUUACCCAUUUUGGGUACUCCUGACUUGGUUGAUGGAUGAUUCUCCACUGCUCGCGUGUAGGAAACCCAGUCUGCCUCGAGGGUAUUUUUGUCCUCUUUUGUCCAAAAGUCCACGUGUCGCCUAGUGAAUAUUUUUUGCUCCACACCAGGAACUUCUAUAAACUCCUAGCCGAAUACAACUACUAUAUGGGAAGCAUUGUGUUGUGUUAUCUAGGGCUUAUAGGGACUGGUGUUUAUAUAUAUAGGCUAAAAGCUAGGUUUCCAUCCAUAAAGGAAACCUAAACUUACUUUCUUAGCCUCUAAGUUAAGUAUCAUAAUUAUAGUCAAUUAAGGAUUCCAUCAAUCCUAUUUCCAAUAUAAGACACAUGAUAUAGGAUUAAUAUCUUUAAGAGAUCGAAUCACAAUCAACAUUAUUUCUCCAAUAUUACAUUCCUAUUAUAUGUAGUAGACCACUUAAAGGUUGAUUUAUAUUGGAUAAAUCCAACAACACUUGUAUUAAAGACCCUAUAUCUAUUCAAGAGAGGUUUAUUGUGGUCUUCAAAGAAAAAUGUCAUAGGGAUAUUUAGACCAUAUUUGUAAAUGAUAUGAUAUGUGAACAAUAAAAAUAAGUUCGUUAAUCAAACACUUAAGUAAUAAAAUAAUCAUUGACAUUGACAACCACAUCAUGUUUAUAUAUAUGGUCUCUUUAGCAUUACUCAAUCUACAAACUGUGGUCUUCUUAGCAUCACCCUCUUUGUAAUAGAAGUAGAGUCCACCAUAUGUAGUAGGUUGCACUUCUAUUAUAAAGAUGAGAUAAAUGUGGUCUCUAAAAUAUUAGCUCCCCAGCAUAUUUCUAUGCAAUAAUCAUAGUCCCACUAGAACAUAGGAAAACCAAAAUUUAACAAUAGGGAACUGCCUAUAGAUAUGUUAUAUAAUACUACUACAAAAUUUGACCAUUAAUUGGUGAACAUACUAAGUAAAUUUACAUGCUGUAAGUAGUUAAACUAAUAAAAUAGUGAAAAUAUGCUUUAUUUUGUUUUAUAUUCCUAAAGAUGGAGGGGAGAUGGGGAAAGUAGAUGCAUGAAUGUAUAGUUGAUGAGAAAAUUAGAAAAAUGUAGGAAAGCAUUUGGUAUGGGGUUUAAGGAAAUCCAGUGUCGCGUCCAGUUUGAGACUUUGGCUACGGCAGAUAAGCCACUGAAGGUAGCACUACAUCUUCAUGUGCCCCACCCAUUAACCAACCAAUGUGUUCCCUCGACGACGUGAAUAAUUCGUCUCACAACAAGCCGGUCACCACAGCCAAGUAAAAGAAUAUGAAACGAAAUAUGGCACAAACUAACAAACACAAUCGCGCAUCGUCAUCUGGACGCAUCUACAAUUCCAAAUCUAAAUUACCCACCAGUAGGGAACAGAUUCUUUAUGUGCCCAGUAAUAUUGGAAUCCCGUUUUAUAAAACCUAGUUAAUUGGGUGCAAUUAUUAACACUUUAAAAAUUGUUGUGCACUUUUUAUAAGGUUUUUUAUUUUUUUUAUUUUUUUUUAUUAUUAUUUUUUUUACAAAUAACAUUUUACAGUAUUCAUAUUAAAGGGAAAAGUUUAAACUUUGGACGAAAUUGGUUGAGAAGGAAGACCUAACUAUUAAGAGCAUCACUAAUGAAGGCCUUAUCCUCCUUUUCUUUUAGGGCUACUAUAAAUGUAGCACUAGUGAGAAAUUUCAUCCCAAUGAAACAAGAAAAUUGGUCUACAUCCACCACAUGGGCUAGUAUCUUCCUUGAAUAGUAAAAAAUUAGACUAUAUGAAACUUAGGAUGAGAAUGAUGCAAUCCAUAUCUAUAUGAAACCUCUCUUUUGUUUGGUGAACCAUAUAUAUGCCUAAAACCUUUUGAAUGUGAAUGUGUACGGAAAUUUGACUUUUACCUUUCGUUCAAAGGAAUUAUCCCUUCCAGAAUGUAACCCCACACAAGUCAAAGUGACAUCAUUUGCACCCAUUUCUCUAGUAGCAACGUCAUCAUACCUUUUAACUUUUUUUGUCCUGCUUUAAGUCUCUAUGUGGGUUGACUGGAAAAGGUAACGAAUCAGACAAAAUAACCGCGAAUACGCCAAUAGAAAAAGCAAGUCCAUUAGGAGAGAUUUUUUCAGUAUUGACAAGAACAUGGGAUGAUAUUCUACUAGUGCACCAAAUGCCAGUCAUGUGUGUGGGUUGACUUGCCUCCAACUCAAAAAAUUCAUCUUCACCAGUGGCAGGUUUAGAAAAUAUUAUUUAGGAGGGGGGAGGGGGUAGGGAGACGAGAGGAGGGUUUCAGUAAAAAGAGAGCACGCAGCGCAAAAAAUCUUUUAGACAUAAAUACGUGCAAAUUACCUUUUCAUCAAGUCUUGGAAGACUUGAAGUCAUUUGCAGAGGUAUAUUGCACACCUAUUAAUGUCUUAAUUGCAUGGGUAACUAUAUGUUCCAAGGCUGCUCCCAUAUGAAUGAUUAAUUAAGGAACACUUAUCGUUAACACACUAACAAAUUGAUUGAUAUCAUUGGAUUUCGUUAAUAUGUUUGUUCAAGAAUGAGAUGCUUUGUUCAUUCUUUGAGAUUACCAUUUCAUUUACUUUGCAUUUUUGGAUAGUCUUUUACUUCAUUCUUAUUUUCAUCCCACAAUUGUAAUCACAACCAACAAGCAAAUUAGAGGUAAACAAUUUUAGGACUAGACUGUAAACCAAAACUUUCGACCAACUAUAAUUAUAAAGAAGUAUAAAAUACUAAUAAUAGGAUUUGAAAGGUGCGGCAAAGCAACACAACUGCUGAGCAAAACAUCCACUAUGCUAUGCCCAAAUCUAAGCAUGCCUUGUAGCCCAGCAGUCCAAGCUCCUCUCUAAGGCAUUUUAUCAAGCAGUUGGAGGACAUAUAUGAAGGGCGACUCUAAUCUUAAAAAAGACAGCAUCCAAGUCAUCCAUGAAAAUUCAAUGGAGUUCGGAAGAUCAGCUGACCCCCUUGCCCCUAAGUUAGUUCGCCCCUGAUCUCCACCGGUUCAAAAUCAUUGAGACAAUUAAAGCAAGGGAAGCAGCCCAACUUGUUCAAGCUUGACCUUGCACGUACAGACAAUUGGAGCAAGGGUAGCAGCUCAUUUGGCUGCCCUGCCUGUUCAAGCAUAAACUUGCGCCUGCAGGCAAUUGAAGUUGAUGUCAGCAUGGAUCCACCACGUGCAACCCACUGAGGCAAAAGCCUCGCCUUUAGCCGUUAGAUUUCCAACAGUCUUCUUGUCUGGACAGUUGGAUUUCCAACAUUAAAAAAAUUGAAAAUUAUAUGUUGUGCCAUGUCUUGGAAAUCAACAAACAUGAUUAAUCCAAAGGUAAAACAAUCCAACAAAUUCUGAAAAAUUCCAAAAUAAAAACACAAAAUUUUGUUUAAGAACACAUUUAAACAAACUCACAAAAUUCAGCCAUCUUUUUCCUUCACUUUUUAUCUCUAAUUAUUAUGCUUGUUUGUAAUGCUAUUUUUUGCUUUGUAUUUAAAAUUAAAUUAUCGGAGUUAAUUAUGGAAUUUUAUUUUCAAAAUAUAAACUUGCUAAGUACACACUUACAAGGCAUACAAAAUGAAAAUAUAUUUGUCACAGCCCGUCCCGGAGGUACUUUUGGCGGGAAUGUGAAAGGACAAAAAUGCCCUUGUCAGGUAUCAAGGUAUGGGUGAUUACCUAUGCUUUGAUACACGUGAUUGCCAGCACACCUGGAUCCUCCGGAUCGGGGUGUGUCAAUAUUUGUGAAUAGUAAUCGCCCUUACCCUUCCUCUUCUCAAAUGAGUGUACUUGCACAAAUUUAAUUAUUGUUUAGAGAGAACAGUAAGGGUAAUUUCACUGUGCUUGUCCUUGACCUCCUAAAAUAGAUGGACAUGUUCUAACAUCACUCGACCUGCUUAUAUUGGUGUGUGUUCCUUUUAUUAGAGAGGUGGCACAAAUGUAGUCUAUCAAAUGUAAUCUCUCUUGCAUCAUUCUUUGUUAGAAAAUGUAGUAAAAUCUCGCUAUACCAUGACACUCUAGAUAAGGAUAACAAUGAUUUAUGUAGUAAUGUUUUAGAAGAUUUUAUGUUACCUAGUUUAGAGCUUCUUCUAUCCGGGUGUGUUGACUAUUCUCUCUGCUGAGGCAUGAUCCUUUAGAUUUCUAAUAAAUUGUUUUGCUGAUAAAAAGACGAUCUUUAUUGACAGCAGAUUCGUAAAAAUAUAUUGUCCUGGACAUUCAUACUUUGCAAUUUAGGCAAUCCAAGAUAUAAUAUAUUGGUCCAGGUUACAUUUUGAUUUGGGUGUUUUAGCCUUGAGGCAAUCCAAUUUUUUUAAUUUUUAUAAAUUAAGUUUCUUCCUGAAUUCUAAUAUACUCCAAUGUUUAGAUGAAAAGAUCCUCCAAGACUUAUAUUCACAAUUUUUACAAUUAACUUUGAAUUUGAAAAUUGGAAUGUGGUCAACAGAUUGAACUGGGACUUCAAUAGAUUGAUUUCGAUUAUUUAAGAAAUAAUUUAUUUUUUAGUAUCACUGUUCAAAAUUUUCCUUUUUAGAUUUUAUUUAUUUUUGUUUUUGGGUUUGCUAAUAAAGCUUUAAAUAUAAAAAAUUAUAUUUAAAGCUAACACAUGGCAAGCUAUGAUAUAUGUCUGCCACUACCAAUCAACUUAGGAUUGGUUUGGUAUUGCUGUGCUUUGAAAAAAAGCUGCUUCUGCUGUGCUGUGAGAAUAAGCGGCUGUAAAAUAAAGCUGUAGAGUGUUUGAUAAACUUUUUUGUAAAAAGGCUUUUGAAAAAAAAAAGCAGUAUUAUAAUGUUUGGUAAACUUUUAUGUAAAAUAGAUGUGAAAAAAACCGGUUUUUCAAAGCUGAGUUUUGCAGCUUCUUGUUUUUGGCUUGUUUUCACCCAAAACUGUGAAAAAAAAGCUGAAGCUGAAUGUUUACCAAACACAAAAAAGCUCCCAGCUUUUUUUGAUACCAGCUUUUUUCAGAAUCAUCUCAGUACCAAACCAGGCCUUAAUCUAGAGGCAAGUUAAGCUUCACACAAGUUUUUCUUGUUCUCCUCACCUUAAUAAUAAUAAUUUAAAAAAAAAGAAAAAAAAAACUAAUAUGCUCCAAUAUUGACGUAAUAUUUUUUAUCCAUAGAUUUUCCAUUAAAAGUGACUAAGUCAAAAAAUAAUUUUUGUAAUUACAUAUCUGUUAAGUAUAACUUCUUUGUAAUAAUAAAAAUAAUUUGAUCUUGCAAGUGACCUUUUACCACAGUAGUAAAAAAGAGUUAAGUCAUUGCAUGAUGGUGUGGAUUCGAAGUUCGUCGGCGGCUAAUCUAACAUCUAACCUAACAAAAUUUAUGGUUUGACAAAAAAAAAAUUUGGUCCUAAGAUCAAUAAGAUAUUUCACUGUCUUUCUUCGAGUGUGAAACUGUCAUACUAUUAUAAUUUUAAUACAUUAUAUUAAUGAGGUCUCCCAUCUAACAAUGUUAUGCGAUGCAGAAAUGAUACUAUAACCAUAUAUUUGCGUUAAUAAAGAUAAGACUCAUAUAUGUGAAUAAGUCUUAAUUUUAUUAGUGAAAUAGUACAUAAGAUGGUACGAAUAUUUAAUAACGGUAGAAUUACUCAUGUUGGCGUCAGGUUUCUAGUUCUAGAAAUUUUUUAAUAUUAGUAUCCCAGUGUAAUAAUGACACACGUAAGUAAAGAGGAAGAAGUUGAAACGGUAUAACAUGCUACUGUGAACAAGUCAACAAUAUACAGCUUCUAAAUCAUGUUGGGUCAAAUUUCUGCCACUCUCCACAUGUAACAAAUGCUUGAGUAUAGUAGUAUAAAAAGAAAAAGAAGAAAAAAAAAAAAACGAAUGUUACCCGAACUCCAUGCAUAACUGUCAUUGGAAUUAUAACUUUUUGUUAGCCGGCGUAGCUCAACCGCACCCUAUCAUUGACUGCUGAAAAGGCCACCAUAUAUUGCUUAAAAAAUAUAAAAAUUUGCUAAUUUGGUCCAUGAAUUCUUACGCAUGAAAAUUCAGUUUUUAAAUUCAUUAAAAAUUAUCAAAUUCAUCUUUAUUGUUGAUUCAAAUUAUUUUAUUCAUUUUUUCGUUAAUUUAAAUCAUGUGACUUGUAUUUGAUACAUUUUAAAAGGUAGAUUAACAUUUUUAAUGGGUUUAAGAACUUUUCCUUUUUCUACUCCAUCUCAAUGUAUAUUCUUCAUUUCUUGGCUCCAAUUAACAACUAAAUUCUCUUCCUUAACCAUAACAAUAGGCUAUGCUAUGUCAUGAACGAGAAAUAGUAUAUACUAGCAAAAAUGCCUGCGCGCUGCUGCGAAUGUUUAAAAUAUUUUGAUAAUAUGUACAUACAGAAAAUAGAAUUUAUUGAAGUUAGAUUUAUAUACCUAAGAUAGAGAUUGGCAGUGUGCAAUUCCUCACUGUUAUAAAGAUAGAGAUGCUAUGAAAGCUAUAUUCAUGUACAGAAGUUCAUAGUAUCAAAAUUGUUCAAAUACGAAAAAAAAACAUGUUCAUAUCAGAAGCUUGGCACCGCACAUCUGCUCAGUGUUUAUGAUUUUUCCUGGUCAAUCUUCUGGUCUUGCUUGUUUGGGAAUGACCAUCUUUUUCUUGGUCAUCUUGUUAUUUUUUGCUUUGUCCAGAAUUUUUCUCUUGCUAUAUAUUAAGAAUUGUAAUCAAUAAGAAUUCAAAAUAAAAAACUAAAAGUUUUCAAUCUAUUUAACCACUGAAUUGAUGGAGGAGCGAAAGAGAGAAACAAAAAAAAAGGGCCAUUAUUCAAUUAUAUGGAGAAUUACUUGAUACGUACAAAAGAUUUGAAAAUUAAACUAACAUUAAAAAAAGAAAAGAAAAAAGAGAUGAGAUGGAGUGGAAACCACAUACCAACAUCAAGCUUAAAAUUGUAGUGCUAUCUGCAAUUAGUCUUAUCAGGAGCUUCUACACUGGUUGAUGUCUCGGUCUUUUACUUAGCUGUAUGUACAUUGUAGACUUGGGUAGAUGAGAAGCAGAAGAAAAUAAAAAUAUAAGUUAAAGUUACAACUUAACUAUCUAUGUUGAUUCAUGUCCAACACAUAAUAAGAAUAAUAAGAAUAGCGAAUCAUUUUUCAUCUCGUGCACUGAUUUGUCAUUGUCACUCAAAUUCACAAAUUCAUUUACUCCAAAUUUCUUAGUUAUGACCAAGGAAAGAAUGUUUAAGCAAAAAUAUGUUUAUAUGUUUUCCCACCAAAUUACCUGUUAAACCUGUUUGUACCAUACUUGACCAAUCUCGAAACUACCGAGCACCAGUCAACGUUAUACCGUUAAGGACCCGGAAGAGUUUCCCUCCAACCAAGAGGCCAAUCACGGUGCGACACGUGUCGACAUCAGAAGCCAAUCAUAGCUCAACAUCGGAAGCCAAUCAUAACACGACACGUGUCAAUGUCAGAACAAAGCUUUUGUUGGCACCAUAAAUUGGUUUUGCUUCACACUGUCUUGAUCAAGAGUGUGUGAAGCUUUUGAGAAUUGUGGUUGCCCUCCAUUGAUGAAGCUCUUGUUGGCACCAUAAAUUGGUUUUGCUUCACACACUCUUGAUCAAGACAAUGUGAAGCAAAACCAAUUUAUGGUGCCAACAAAAGUUUCAUCAACGGAGGGCAACUACAAUUCUCAAACUCUUCACACACUCUUAAUUAAGACAGUGUGAAGCAAAAUCAAUUUAUGGUGCCAACAAAAGCUUCAUUAAUGGAGGACAACUACAAAUGCCAAAAGCUUCACACACUCUUGAUCAAGAUAGUGUGAAGCAAAAUCAAUUCAUGGUACCCAACAAAGUUUCAACUCCAAAGCUUCACCUACAAAGCUUCAACACAAAAGCUUCACCUACAAAGCUUCAACUCCAAAGCUUCACCUACAAAGCUUCAAUUCCAAAGCUUCACCUACAAAGCUUCAACUCCAAAGCUUCACCUACAAAAGCUUCAACUCAAAAGCUUCACCUACAAAAGCUUCAACUCCAAAGCUUCACCUACAAAAGCUUAAACUCUAAAGCUUCAACACAAAAACUUCACCUACAAAGCUUCAACACAAAAGCUUCACCUACAAAAGCUUCACCUACAAGGCUUCAACUCCAAAGUUUCACCUACAAAGCUUCAACUCCAAAGCUUCACCUACAAAGCUUCAACACCUAAGCUUCACCUACAAAGCUUCAACACAAAAGCUUCACCUACAAAAGCUUCAACAUAAAAGUCUCACCUACAAAAGCUUCACCUACAAAAGCUUCCACACAAAAGCUUCAUCUACAAAAGCUUCAACAUAAAAGCUUCACCUACAAAAGCAUCACACACUCUUGAUCAAGAUAGUGUGAAGCAAAAUCAAUUCAUGAUACCCAACAAAGCUUCAACCUCAAAGUUUCACGUACAAAGCUUCAACACCAAAGCUUCACCUGCAAAGCUUAAAAAAAUUAUAUACAUACAUACAUAUAUAUAUAUAUAUAUAUAUAUUUUUUUUUUUCGAAAAUUCAGAAAUAAAAAAAAAAAUCGGAAAUUCGAAAAAAAAGAAAAGAAAAUGAGGCCUUUUUCUUUAGGCCUAACAACUUUCAUAACAAAUAUAUAUGAAGGAGGAGUUUUGGGCUACCACUUAGAAAGGAAAAUGGUGAAGUUUUGUUACUUUGGAAACUUGGCUAGUAGCAAGACACCUCCUUCGUCAAAUCCCUCGACCGGAGACUUGGGGGACUCCUACCAUAUGUUACUGCAUUUUGAUACUCGGAAGUCUCAUGACCACUCAGUGACUUAGAUUUUUCAAGUCUCCAACCAAGAAGUUUUCCUCACUCGGAAAAUUAAUGGAGCACUACCUCAACCUACAUGCUUCACUCACAAAGCUUUAACAUACAAGCUUCAACAAAAGAAAAAAUUCAAAGAAAUUAGUGAAGAAGGCUUUGGUGUAUUUAACACAAUACGUUGAAAUGAAACAAAGCUUAUUUAUUGAUAUCUCUGAUAAGUUACAAAUAUGUACAUAUACAUGAAUCAAAAUAAACAAACAAGAGGGAGCCUUCACAAAGGUUGCUCAUGAGAAGUCUUAGCAGUCGGCAGAGCCCUAGAAAGAGAAGGAACCGGAGGGUGAUCAUUCGGAGCCUCAGUACUGGGCAGAACCCCAGAAGGAGGAGGUAUCAGAGGUUGAUCAUUUAGAGCUUCAUUACGCGGUACAGCCCCAGAAGAUGAAGGCAAUAAAUGCCUUUGGAACAAACCUAUAAACCUCUGAUGAUCAAGUAAAUUCUGACCAUUAGAUUCCUGCAACUGGUCAAGCUUCCUUUUCAUGUUUGUAGCAUAGUCAUGUGCGAGCCUGUUUAACUGUUUAUUCUCAUGCUUGAGCCUCUGAUCUCUUGUUUGAGACUUAUCACUUCAGCCGCCAAUGAUUCAACUUGACGGGUUCGAGCAAAUAGGCGUUGGGCCAUAUUAGACACAGAACUUGCACACUGAACACUGAGAGCCAGAGAAUCCUUAUCAGCCAACUCAUCAGACCGUUUGGAAAGUAGUCUGUUAUCUUUAGGAGUAAGAAAGUUCUUGGCCACCACCGCAGCGGACAUAUCAUUCUUCAUCACAGAGUCCCCAACGGUAAGAGGACCAGUAGGGGAUAAGAAGGAUGGACGCCAUAUGUUGUCUUGAGGAGGCAUGGCUGCCUCUUCACCAAAGUUCAAGUCAAAAUGACGAUCAGAUGGGCCAGACAUUUUCAGAAAUUAUGAAGGAGAAAUGAAGUCCAAUAAAUCUCUGAAGUACGAAAAUAAGGGGAAAAUUCCUACAAGCAAUAACUCUUUGAACGUACUUCUUGCACACAAUUGGUGCCCCUAUAAAAGAAAGGGCAACAUGGCCGUUUGUUCAAAAAUCGAAGAGGCACCAUUCUCCGGAUUUCGAGAAGCGGAUUUUUCUGAGUAAAAUAUGUCGACAAUCCCUACAUGCAACAUCAGCUUCUCGGGUACCACUGAUAACUUUGGCAAAGAUCUCUGACAAAGUUUAGACACAUAAAUUUUGAAGGUCCAGCUACCCUACCAUUACCCACAAGGGUAACGGAACAACAUCACUGCUUGAUAACUGGAAAGUCUUUAUGUGUGUCAACCUCAGUGCUCAUUGGCAUGGCAACUUGGCAAAAAUGCCCAACCUUUACUCACAUCGAGAAAACACUCAUAACAGGAUUACUUUCUCAAAAAUCGAAGAGGCACCGCUCCCCGAAUCUCGAGAGCCACGCUCCCACCAGGAUUACUUUCUUAAAAUUCGAAGAGGCACAGCUAUCUGAAUCUCGAGAGUCAGACUCCUACCAGGAUCGCUUUCUCAAAAAUCAAAGAGGCACCGUUCUCUAAAUCUGGAGAGCCAGAUCCCCAAUAGGAUUGCUUGUUCAAAAAUCGAAGAGGCAACACUCUCCAAAUCUCAAGAGCCAGAUCCCCAAUAGGAUUGCUUGUUCGAAAACCGAAGAGGCACCGUUCUCCGAACUUCAAGAGCCAGAUUUCCUUGGAUAAAAUUUGUCUGCAAUCUUCACACGUAACAUCAGCUUUCCAAAUACCACAGACCAUUUUUUCAAAGUGCUCUGACAAAGUUAAAACACGUGAAGCUUGCAGCUCCCACUACAUUGCUAUGACCAAGAAGGGUAAAUGAAUAGCAUUACUACUUGUUGUUGAGGGAACUCCUAUAUAUGUCUACCGCCACCCUCCACGAACAGGAAAACCUGCAAAAAUGCUCAACCAUUCCUCGUAUCUGAUAGGGCACUCCCAACGAAGCCUCUCGAAAUACUCAGCUUCCUUUCCCUCGAUAAUACCUCUGCAAACAAGCCACACCAGAGCAAGAGUAUCUCAUAUCAUCAGGGUUCAAAGUAAAAGUAUCCCAUAUCAUGCUUUUUCCCUAUCUUUUCCUUUGCCCUUGCUUUUACCUGCAAGACAAGGAGAAAGAAAGCAAUCAGUCGGCACCUGAAAUCAAACUUCCGAUCUAGAACUGAUUGCCCGGAACCUUUGCCUGGGUCCUCACCUAGCAUUACUCUCAAGUACUCAUCAUCAACUGUUGUCAAGGUCAUGAAUCCUUUCGGUAAAUACUUCAUAACAGUUGAUACGAUAUAGGCUCUUUACAUUGAAGCUGCCAAGCAUGGAUGAGUCGCUGAGAAGUAGUUCUCUGAAGGACCAUUCAAAUGAAAAGGUUGUGCACCACUUCUACGAUGUAAAAGAUUGAAGCAGAAGGUUCAACGAUGAGCUAGAACAGAUCACUAUAGCACGACGCCCUACCUGCAGAACCGCAUAAUCCAGACGGAAGAGUCUAAGUCAAAUCCAAGCUCGGCAUCGCUGCCUUAUCCGAAGAGCUCAAGAAACUUCAACAACCUUUCGCUGGCAACGUCGCCAAAGAGCAAAGCCUCGCCAUACCACAUCCACUACUUUGUCAACAACAAAACUAUCCCAUUUUAUCAAGGUCGAACGAACUCUUGAUUUGAUGGACUUGUUUUGACCCUCAAAUUCAUGAGUCAGCCUUAUACUCUGGAGGCAACUAGAAAACCCUCCAACCCAGUUCAAGAAUAAGCUUGUGGAAAGUUACUUCUUCAAAAGAAAAAGUUUCUCAUAUCAUCUAUUCUCCUUUUUCUUCUCUUUAUCCUUCAUGCUGCCUGCAAGAUAGGGAGAAUGAGAACAAUCAGCCAGAACUCGAAAUCAAACUUCUGAUCUAGGACUGAUUGCUUGGAGCUCUGAUUGCUUACCUUGUCUGUCACCUCUUUCGACAGAUCUCCUGGCUCGGCGACUUGGGGGACUCCUACUAAAUGGUUUGUAUCGCGCUUGACCAAGCCUAAAACUACAAGUAAGGUUCAAGUGAAAUUGAUACAUUACCUUGUGCAUCUCCACCGGUUAAAGAUACCACCCCUGGAUGGAGGAAGAGUACUUCCAGAGAAGAUGACACAUCUACCUAUGCGAUAGAUAAGGCAAGUGAAGAUGAUACCACACUUCAGUACUUAGAAGUUUUGUGAUUACUCAGCGGCUUGGAUCUUGCAAGUCCAUAACCGAGGAACUUCCCUCACUCGGGAACUUAGGGGAGUAUUGUUUGUACCAUACUUGACCAAUCCUGAAACUACAGAGCACCGACAACAUUAUACCGUCAAGGACCCAGAAGAGUUUCCCUCCAACCAGAAGGCCAAUCACAGUGCAACAUGUGUCGACAUUAGUAGCCAAUCAUAGCAUGACACGUGUAAACAUCGGAAGCCAAUCACAACACGACACGUGUCAAUGUCAGAACAAAGCUAAAAACUCUCGUCUAUAAAAGGAGAUCAUUCUCCCACAAUAUUGCCUAAUGUCAUUUGUAUUAAAUCAUUCGCUAGUACUCACUAAAGGAAGGCUUGAACCUAUGACUUGUGUAAACCCUUCACAAUUAAUGAGAACUCCUAUACUCCGUGGACGUAACCAAUCUGGGUGAACCACAUACAUCUUGUGUUUUCCUCCAUGUCUUUAUCCAUUUACAUACUUAUCCACACUAGUGACCAGAGCAAUCUAGCGAAGGUCACAAACUUAACAAUUUAUGUUGUACCAAAGUCCUCAUUGAUUUUGUGCAUCAACAAAACCAAAUCCAAACGUCAAAAAUAAAAAAUAAAUACCUUCGUCAAACCUCUUGGGCUUCAAGUCCACCGACUCCACCCCAAUACUCUGUGGCGCCUUAGAAAUUCUUCCACCUUUAGUAGCCUAGAUCAUGCAUGUAUCAGUAUAAAUACAGAAAAGAAAAUAAAUGCAAUUUAUUAGAACAAAGAAUUUGGGAUCAACAAAGUUUGUCCAAACUUACAGCGAGGCCAAUAAACAGCAACUGAGGACAAUUUUUCAUUUCGCUACAUUGAGAGGGGAACCCAAACCUAAUAUUAAAAAAACAAAAUAUUCAGUAUAAUGCAAACGAUUCAAUAUGUAGUAUCAAUUGAGGAUGCAUAAUUCAAGGCUUUAAAGCAUUGAGUACGACACCAAACUUGUUGGUAUGGCACAACUAAGGAUGCAAACUUUGUCCAACUGAGCAAAGGGCUUGAUUUUGGAAAGACGGCCAUAAUGAACAACAAUGUAUUCACUUGAAGUAAAUGUGCCUGGAAAACUCUACUCGUAGUUUACAAAUCUGUAAUUCUCAAAGCUUAAUCAUAUAAAAUCAUAUAUAUAUAUAUAUAUAUAUUAUGUAUGUUGUAGAUAUUAUUGCUGACCUUCGGCAGAAGUAGAGUUCAGUGUGAUAAACUGAGGUAUAUUUGACCUUUACCCUCAUUUCCAUGGCCUUAGGUGGAGCAACCUUCACCCUCUCCAUCACCAACAGCUUCCUGACUUCCCAUCAGUGUGAUAAACUGAGUAUUAAAUCUCUAUAAAGACAUGCAAAAUGAAGAACAAUGGACAUAGCAGGCAAAGAUGCUAAUUGGUGUUCAUAAAAAAGAUAUUUUAGUUUUAAUUACCUUGUAUUUGAGAAGAGGUUCAGAACUCUCUUCAAUUUCUUUUGGUUCUGGUUUGGCUUCAGGCCUAGCCUCCAUUGUCGCCAUCGACAGAAGACGAGCUCUUAGGAAUAGAAGUGGACAUGAAUGGAGCUUGAUAUGAUCUAAUUAUGAAAACAUAUACCAAUCAAACAUAAAAUUUAAGGUGCAUGGACGAAUUUCUCCUACGAAAUGAUCUAAAUAUGUUGAGAAGAAUAUACAUUUUUACAUAUUUUCUCGACAACCAAACAACAUAUUUUGUCACCGGUGUUUAGACAGAAACAAGUCGUCGAAAUUUGAAGACCAAAGCCCUAAUACCUUAACACAUAAGAUCGAUUCAAUUAAGUGUGAGAGAAUUUGUAGAAUUUUAUAUGUUAGUUUGAGGGUUUGAGUUUGUUUUCUUAUUUUAUGCAAAGAAAACUUCAAUCAAAUGCCAAAUAACUCACUAUCUUACCUAAUGACAAAUAAGUGAGAGAGCUUUUGGGUAAAAGGGUCAGAGAUGGUUUGAAGCUGGAAUUUGCUGAUGCUAGGGUGAGUCAAGAUGUUGUUGCAGUCUGGUUGUCAGCCGACGACCAAGAUUUCUUCAUGGGUUUUCCUUCCAAAUGGGUUUGUAGUGCGGCUAUGGUUGAGAUUUGUUGAGGAUGAAGCGGUUAGUGAGUGAGAGAGAAACUGCGAUUGUGAAAGAACGCAGAGGUGUGGAAAAUGAUGAUUAUGAAGGGAAUUGAGAGGCGAGAUUGAUCGCACUUGUUGGAAUCGAAGGCAAGAUCGUGACCGGGAUGCAGGGAAGCAUGUGAGGGGAAGUUAGGAGAGAAAAUGGAAACAAAAGGGCAAAACGGCAAUGAAAGACACGUAACGAUGAAAGACAUCUAGAACAAUCAAAGCCAAAGCAAAGAGGAUGAAAGACACGUAGAACCAAAAGGACAAAACAGUCAUAUUACUGUAGAAACUCAGCAUUAAAACGAAGAGGAAGAAAAAAAUAAAGGGCAAAUUCGUCAAAUCACUAUUAAUGAACAGUAACUGAAACUGAGUUUUAGUAUAUAUAAUUUGUAUGACGUUAGGAAAUUUGACAAAUGACCUAUACAACCAAAAAAAUACUAGAGAGCACAUAUUUAUCAAGAUUUUAAGAGACACUAGAUGCUAGUCAGUGACAGACUAAGACCUAGUGCCUAGGCGGCUAGGCGGGAGCUUAGGCAGACUAGGUGGAUUAAGUAAAUUUAUUAUAGCUCGUAUAAAUAAGUGUAUGUUUAUACUUAAAAAAUACAUAAUUGUAUUGUGAUACAUAAAUUAUAAAGUAUUAGAACAUAUUGAAAAUAUGGGGAACAAGCAUAUGAUAAAUGUUUAUCCAAGUAUUCAAUAAGUGUCUUACAAUUUAUUGAAAAAUAAAAAUAAAAUACAAAUUAAUAGUUAUCUAUUUUCUGUCUAGGUGAGAGUUGUGAUCUAGCCGGGUAUCUAGGCGGACUUAGGCGGGCGCCUAAGCAGAUCUAUGCGCCAUUUCUUAAUAUUCAAUGCCUAGAGAUUACUCGAGCUGUGAUCAGCCGCUUAGCACCUAUGCGGGGCCUAGUUGGAAAUUUUUAGAAUAGUAUACCAUUUGAUAUGAUAAGUUAUGAUAAAUAUAUAUAUAUAGAGAGAGAGAGAGAGAGAGAGAGAGAGAGAGAGAGUGAUCUAGUAUAUAGCACUAGGGGUGGAAAAAAAAUCCCGAAAAUCCCGAACCAAACCGAAAAAAUUCCAAUCCCAAACCAAAAAUUUCUCAAACCGAAUUUCCCAAAAUUUCGGUACGGGAUUCGGGGUUGGCUUCUUGAUAUUUCGGGAAUUCCAUACUGAUCCGAAAAUAUAUAAUAUUAAUUAUUAUAUAUAUUUAUACAUAUAUUAUUCUUUUAUAAUUGAUGCUAGUAGUUUCUAAUUCAUGCUUUGCAACCUGGAAUGCCAUACACCUUGCAUAUCAUUCAUGUUUUGUUUGAUAUUCAUUUGGAUUUUAUUAUUGCUGUUGCCAUGGCUGAUGAUUUUAGAAGGCUUGAUUCUUUUGUCUCUCAACAGAUUGCAAAAAGGGUUUAAUUAAUUUGAAUUUUGACUCUGAUAAAAAUAGUCAAGCAUGCCAGUGUUCGAUUAAAUGGUAGUGUGAAUGAAAUGACAUUCCUAGUUCAUGAAUGUGUUCUUAAAUUAAAUAUUUGAAGAACAAUUCAUAAUUUCAUAUUUCAAUUUGGGAUUCCCGAUUUGUCCCAAAAUCCAGAAAAAUUUCGGGAUUCCCAAAAAUUUGGUUUGUGAUUGGUCUUCAAAUUCUCGUCCCGAAAAAUUUUGGUUGCGAUUCAGGAUACUAGUUUCGGUAUGGUAUCCCAUACCGAACCACCCCUAUAUAGCACCAUAACUAAAGGACAUCCCAAUAUAGAUUCAAAAGCAAAGGACAGACUGAUUAGGGUACCAUAUAUUUUAGUGGUUUUUUUUAGAGAAGUGUUAUUGGCAUUUUAAAUCUCAUUCUACACUCCUCACAAAUGUAUUUUUCUUUCAUAAUAUAGAAAGUUUGGAGUGUAGAAUGAGAUUUUUGGAGUGCUAAUAACAAUUCCCUUAUUUUAAUUUAGGUAAAAUAUCUAAUCGUGUCAGUUUAUCAUAUAUCGUGUGUCUAGUUUUCGUUAUGUACUAUUUAUAUUCAAUUUUGAAGUAAAAGUUUAAAAUGAUUUCUAACCGCACGAUGUACGAUGAACGAACAUAAUUGAUUGAUUCUCCAGAUAUCCCCACAAAGAGGAUCCAAAGAGGAUCCUAUUCCGGUGGCACUGAUAAUUGUUUCUUUAUAAAUUUUCGCAUAUGAAGAAAUAGUUGUCGGUGCCACCAAUAUUCAACUUAAUUACAAUACUACUACCGCACACAAACUUUAACGUAAUCACGAUAUUGCCUUGUAAUUGAAAAAUGUUCGUUUUUAUUUUUGAACCAAUUGAAAAAUGUUCGUUAGGUGUUUUCCUUUUUAUCUUUAUCAAAAAGGUGUACAAAUAUGAUCGGCUAAAUAUGGUCUACCAAUUAUUUUUCUUUUCCUAGUAAAUGUGGAUGGGAUAAGACUUGCGUUCCCAAUGGGGAAUACACAUAUCCUACUUCUUUCAAAUAAAUUAUAUUCGACAUAUAAAUUUCAUAAUUUGAACCAUUCACUUUUUUAAUCUUCAUUUGAAGAUCAUUCUUAUAAAAAAUCAUCUAAAUCAGAGAUCUUUUAGUCAUCUAAAUCUAUGAAACAAAUCGACAAUAUGAGUACCAAAGAACCACUACAAGAAAAAUGAGCUUUGGGUACAAAACAAAGGGCACAAUUGAGAAUUUUGUGUCUGUUUGACCACCAAAAAGCUUAAACAGUUCCCAUUUCAUAGAGGACACCAUCUAUUGUGCCCAAUGUUAAAAAAGGAAGACACAAAAUAGUAAUGGGCACGGUUUCCGUGCCGAGUGGGGUCAGAUGACAUUUUUUUACUGAAGAUCGGCACAAAAAACAUUUUGUGUCUAUAAAAAUUAUUUGUCAGAGGCACUGUAUGUUCUCUCUCGUUUGUCUUUACCUCCUCUAGCACACCAAUAAUUAAAAUUUAUAAAAUUGUGGUAAAUAAUGGUAUGAAGCUAUUUAUUAUUGUGCAAUGUUUUAGCCUCAAAAUAAGUUAGCAAUAAUAUUGUUCAAAUUCGUUUUUCGCGAGAGCCGAAUCUCAUAUCUCUCACUUACAAGUAAAGAAGAAUACCACUACACCGUAGUAUUAAGUGGCGUGUUUUAGAUUUACAAUGGAUCAUUUCCAACUACAAUAAAUGUUUGUUAGAUUCGUAUCUUUUUUAAUUGCAUUUUAGAUUGGUAUCUUCCUGCAAGUUUGUUUUUUAUGCUUGGUGAUAUGGUUUUUGGUUUUAUAGUAAAUGUUUAUUUUUUUACUGCAUUAAAAGUCCUUCAUGCAAUGACACAUAACCAACAAUUGUGCCCUUAGGGUCGGUCUCCGUGCAAAAGCAAGUUGAUCUUCAGAUAGACAAAUAAGUGUAGAUUCCUUUUUAUGACACUAAUGAUAGAAAUUGUGUCCACUAAAUAUUAAUAAAUAAUAAAUCAGUCUACUUUUCAUUGGGUCUUCAGAUAGACAAUAUAUUUUAAUAAUUAUAAAAUCCUUUUUAUGACACUGAUGUUAUAAAUUGUGUCCAGUAAAUAUUAAUAAAUAAUAAAUCACUCUAUAGCAAAACAAUAUGUUGGCACAAUUAUGGAUUUGUGCCUGUAUUCUAGUAUAAAGCGUCCACACUCCUUUACUAAUUUGUCUAUGGAAAAUAGAAGGUCACUUCAUACACUUGUGUUUAUUUUGAAUAUGAUCAAGUUCUACAUCAUUGAGAAUGAGGGACAUGCGACGUAGCGGAGUUAGAAUUGGAACCGAAUCUCCAACAUCACAUUCGUCUAUUGCUUCAAACAUUACAACAGCAAAUUCCACAACGAAUCAUAUUUAUAAAUAUCAGUAAUCAUAUUUUUUUUAGCACAAAAAAUCGUCACUAUUUAUAUAUAUCAGUAAUCAUAUUUUUUUAUUAAUUUACAAACACAUGAAAAGAAUUUUCAUGCUCUUUGAUUUAGGAUUAUUUAAAUCAUUUAAUCUUAAAGACAUAAUGUUCGUGUCUUCCCUUAAAGUCUGGACAGUCAUAUUUAAGUAUUAGUUUUUAUCGAUCCCAUAACCCACUCGGUUUCAAAAGCAGCGUCACCCACACUCACUCAGCCUAUUCAAACUUUCCUCCCUCAGAUGCAUUCUCACCCGUCUUUCUCCAACCCCUUUUCUCUCACUACCUUCCCCAGAUCAAAUCGUGGAGGCUCUUAAGUUCCAUCAUCGCUAGAAAACCUUGGUAGGAACCCUCCGCAUACGAUCUCCACAAGAACGGAUCUCGGAGCAGCAGGGGGUUGGGAUCGGUAGAGAGUUUGGAAUCAGAAUCGGAGGAGGUAAUCACAGUUUUGGUAACUGCAAGGUCAUCGAGGGGCUGUUUCUAGGGUUGGAGUGGGAGGCAUUCGAACUUAUCUUCAUCCCAAUACACGAAGCUGGUGAAGGAAGGUUUGGGAAGAUGGAUGCAUAGUGAGUCCGAAUCGGGAAUCGGGUCUAGUAGGGAGAGAUCAGAAGGUGAGUCGAGUUGGGAGGUGGUGGUGAGGAAAAGGCAGGUGCAAGUCGGAAGAUGGAGUGAGGAGUAGUCGUCGUUGUCCUCAUUUAUUUCGUCACCGUAGCCUUCGAAUUGGGAGUCGGCGACUUGGAGGGAGGAGGGAAAGAAUGAGAGGUAAGAGAAGAGGAAGAAGAUGAUAAGUGUUUCAUCUUUAUCUCCUUUCAUUUUUAAAGUACGAUUGUAUGCUUGUAAACAUGUGUUGGUUGUUCAGGUGCCAUGGAUAUACAAUAUUAUUUCUUUUAGUAAUCGCGUGUUUUUAAGAGAAGCUGUUUUCUCUUAGGAUUUGAUGUUAUUUUGAAUUGUUUUGAUUAGUUCUGAAAGCUUUUAAAUAUCUCUGGUGUUGUAGAUCAGAUAUCCCUUCAUUUGUGGAGUUAUGCGAUCGAGGUCCUACAUGGUGUAUACAACUAGACAAUUUGUAAUCAAGUUUAAUUUUCCAUGGGUGCAAAAGUUCUUUGUAAAAGCAGACUUUAGUGUAAUUUAAUUGGCCAAUUUAAUCUCUCUUUCUAUUCUUUUUCAGCUUCGAAAAGUAAAUGAUGAACAUAAGACUGGAAUUCGAAAAACUGAACAUGAUCUUCAAGUUGCAGAGGUUUGUUGUCCGUUUAUUUGCUACCUGAAACUAUCAAUUGCUAUAUGGUAUUAAUUUUUUUGAUAUCUCAGGAAGAAAUGGUGAAGAGAAGUUUGGGAUUUCUUCGAUAUUUGAUGAUUUGAUUGGGGUAAGGAAAUGGUAAUGCUAUAAUUUUCUAAUGUCUGCUGUUGUUGGCAACGUUGUUGUUAUCACUUUAGGUUUAAUUCUUGUGUCUUUACCUCUUUUAGUGAGACUAGUCAAUUAGUAAAUUUAUCAAUUGCCUAAAGGUGGAUUCUGUUAUGGCCCCGUCUCUUAUUAAUCAUAUGCAAGCUUUUAAGCUUGAAUAACAGUAAAGCGUAUCAUGUUCUUGUUACCAUUUACAAGUACUUUAAAAUUAAGUUCACCAUACCGCCAAUAGUUAAAUCCUAUUGUGACCCAUGAUCAGGUCCAUGGAAGAUGGCUUCCACAUACAUUUGGAGUUCAUGUAGACUAUUUUUCAGGUAAAUCCUCGCAAAUUAGUUGGAUAACAAUGUCAGUCUAAUUUCAUGACAAAGUAUUUAUGUGCAAACGUACAUUGUGACUUUAUUGGAAUGCGCUUGGAAGACCAGCCUUCAAUCUGGAAAUUGAAAAGGUGUGUCUGUGAUAUUCCAAACUUUAUUCGUUAAACUUCUCCAAUAAAGAUGUUCACUUGCCAGGUGAAUAAACUGGAAUAGCCAAGUAUUCAUUUAUUUAUUUGUCCUCAGGCCUUAAAAAUGAAAGCUCGUGGUGAGGGUUGGGCUAGGAUCAUCGUCGAAAGAAUCAGGACGGUAUGUUAUCCCCAACUCUUAUUCAUAUAAUACAAAAUACAAAGUGAGACAUGAGUUGUGUUUUAUGGGAUUAAGUGGCAAAAUUUGAGUUUCAAAACUCGAGUUCUGAAGAGGAGCAUAAAGCAGCAAAAGCCUAUCUUACUAAUAAAUUCUGAAGUCAUUAGACUUAGCUUUGGUGUUUGACAUCUUCCUCUUUUCUGAACAAUUAGUGUACAGUCAACUUUUCUAUUUGAGAUAUUGAACCAAGUUGGUAACCUUUCUAAUUCUUCCUCUUUUAAUUUGAAGAACUGGAUCCCAAGGUUGAAGAAACAGUCUUUGGAAUUUAAGGCCUAUCUUGAACCAAACAUCUGAUUAGUCACAGCAAAAACUGUUGAUGUAUAUCGUUCAUCAAAGAGUUCUAUAUGACCAGUUGUUUUCAAGGCACAAAAUAUGGCAGAUCCUUACAUUCAGGUGAGCCCUUCAAGAGAACUUUUUAAAUAUAUGGAUUUGGUGGAUGGAAUUCUUUCUUAUGGCAUUUCUGUGUUAUGGCAGGAAGCUAAGAAAUAUACCGAGCCAUACAUUGAUCGGGUUGCAAUGGUGACAAAAACACAUUUAGAUAAAUUACAAGAAAGAAAAUGCCAAUGCAAUUCUCCUUGUUGCAAGCCAGGUGAGACGUAUGUACAUCUAUCCUCUCAAAACCUUGCACAUUUCUUUUCCUUUCUAAAGUUUACUUUCUCUGACCACUAUGAAAUAUGUUUGCCCUCCAACUCAUGAACUUCCCAUCCUUGGUGAAAAUGUGGCUUGGUCUGCGAUCUCUUGUAGGCCAAAAUGACAUUAUUUAGGAUAAUUAUCAACUUUUGUUGUUGUAAGUAGCAACUUACUACAAAAAGUAUCAACUUUUGUCUUGCUUAUCCACUUAUUGAUGUCCAGAAUUUCAAGGUACGGUGAUGUUCUUAUAGUGGAAAAAACUUAUAUUUCAAUUGCAUAUUGUUGGAGGUUCUAUUAUUAUGUAUUAAGAUUAUCUUGUUUUACAUUACUAUAAUCAUUAAAUUAUUGAGUUUACUAAUGUUGUUGUGUAGGAAGAUAGGGAAAAACUAUUUGAAGGAAUACUUAAACAGAAAUGGAAGAUCUUCUCUUGAUGAUCAUCUUCAUUAAUUCGUUUAUGGAGCAGCAGAGAUUCGAUGAGGUGCAAGGCUUGCUGGGGAAGAUGCAUCUGUCCAAAAAUGUCUGCUUUCAAGUUCUUUUUGCAUUAGAGAUGAAAUAUGUAACAUUACAAUAUAUGUUUGUGAGAUUGAGAAUGUAUUGUAGGCUUUCUACAUUUUAUGAAGAAAAAAACCUCAAUUUCAGUUUCAAUUUUUCAAAUUAUGAUUUUUUUUAAUAUUUAAUUCAUGCAGGCACAAUUACAUUUUUAGUGCCAACAUGACUGGAAAUGGUAGUCUGACAACUUUGUCAGAACAUAGGCACAAAACACCCUUUAUUUGUUCUGACAUCAUGAGCACAGAACUCAGCAUUGUGCCCUCUGAGCAAUGGUGACGCCCAUAGAGGGCACAUACACAAAGAUAGUAGCUGCACUGUUGCUAUUGGUCUAUGACCACAAUUGUUUGUGCUUUUUGGCCUCAAAGGGCACAAAUAAUUUAUUGUGCGCAGUGCUCAUUUUUUUUGUAGUGAACAUAAGGAAAACUAAUGUAAAAACUUCAAAACUUUGAAUCUUAACUAAAAGCCACCUAAUAACUUCAUUUAAUGAUUAUUAAAAAAAUAACUUUAUUUAAUGAUAAGAACUAAAAAUAAAAAAAAAUAAAAAAAGAAAAAAAAUAGCCAACUGAAAGCGCGUGCAAGAUUAAAAAAAAAAAAAACCGAAACCGGAGAGACUGCAAUACAGAAACUCCAAACACAAAUUAAAUUAUGCAAGAAUAUUUUGCAGCGCAAUGUUUGUACUAAUAGUUCAAAGGAGGUAAGGAAGAUAAUUGCCGCGUCUCAGCAGUGUUGAUAUACAUAUUUGUUAUCAUUUCCUAAAUUUUCUGAUGAACUGAUGGAUGUUGGUUUUAGUUAUUUGAUUGGCAGUGGUAAUUGUGAAGUGCUAUCAUCUUCUUGUGUUCAGAAAAAUCUAGAGAUCCGUCAUCGAAAGUGUCAUGCAUGUGGAACUCCGUUUGGUAUAGAAAGCUAAAAAUUGAAGAGAUUCAGAGAAAAUUUGAUGACAAUUGAAGACAAUUAGAAUAAAAGAUGUUUGAAAGGUGACAAAGUGCCGAGAAAAUUCAGGAAGAGUACAUAAAAGAAUGGUUGUUAGACUUUCUGGAGAGAUACCAUAUUUGGUUUAAGAUAUAGUCAGUGCAUGCCAACUUGUGUUCAGUUUCAAAAGUAUUGCCCGUGUUCAGUUUCAAAAAUAGUGUAGUACUCGUAUUUAGUUUUAGAGAUAAUUAGUGUUCAGUUUCUGAAAUAUUGCUUUUCUUAUUUUACUUUUUUUUUUUUUUUUUUUUUUUGGAAGAAAGGUAAAUCCAUUACCAAUACCACAUAAUUACAAUAAAGGAGCUCCAAACUACAAUAUACACACAUUCAAAAUAUGGACCACCAAAGAAGACUUUUGAGCCCAAACAAAACACCGAAACACCCAACAGCUUCCAACCAACGCCGCCAUUGGCAUGCCGCUUUCCACCCAACAGAAACCAACAUCCCAUGCAAACCUCUGAACAGCAGCCAUACACAGCCCCAAACAUGGAUGAAAAGAAGACUCCAAAAUCCAUCAGAGAGCACAUCAUCAUUCGCGACCACGCAACGAAAGAAACCCACUAGCAUUGGUGCCAUCAAAGACACCCUAAAGGAAGGAGGUGGUGUAAACACCCAAGCCGGAGCUCUACACACCUUCCGAGAGAUUAGCAAGAUCGCGUUGAAAUUGCAAGAAUUGCAAUGAGAAAAAACGGGUGACAAACCGAAAUGUUGGAUCAAUGAAUAAUGGAGCUGAUUGGAAAUGAUAUGGAGUGGAUUAGUGGAAAUCAGGUAGGUGGAAGGAAGGGGGGGGAUGAAAAAAGGGACUGGGCACAAUGAAAUCAUAUGCAGAAGGGAUUGGGGAAAAGAACGAUCGAACCAAAAGGCAAGGGAAAACAAAAGCUGUGGGAGAAGCAAAGAAAACAAAAGAAGAAAAAUGAGGAGAAGAUGACUGCCACCAACCUUAGCCAUAGCUAGGGCUGGAGACUAGAAGGAGGAUGAGGUCCUAUUGUCUUUAAUAUCUAUCAGAUAGGUCCUAUAUCAUGUUUAUGAUUUUAAUUACCAAUGAUCGACAUAAAUUUUACAACUUAAACAGCAUGAGAGGUUAAAAUAAUAAAAUUAAAAGUCAAGCAACUUACCUAAGAGGAGAUAAAGCAGAUGGUACACAGUUUCUCAAUGCUUUCCAACUAAACAUUAUAGUUCUCUCUACUGCCAACUGAAAAGAUAUAAGUUAAUAACACAAUUAGAAUUGAAACUUACAAGAGGUCAUGGUUAAAAUAGUUGGGAGAUAGAGAGAAAGAUACAACAAUUCGUGAUGUUGGUGGAAUGGAAAGAUACAUCAAUUCAUGACUUUAGACAAAUGGGUAAUUUUUGUGUAGGUUAAGUGGUUUAAGCACAAACCUAAUAUAGAUAAGUAAAUUAGAAAUAAAAUUGUGAGAAGAAUGAAUAUUGCAAAAGUAGCAGCCUCAUCUCCACAAAAGCUGCAGAAAAACAGUUUUAGCCAACCAAGAUUAAGCCUGAUUUUGAACACCCAUAACUAUACCAAAUUAUGCAAACAAACAUGAGAUUCAAAGCUGUUUUGAGUACAUUAAAAGCAUCUACAAUUUGUAAGAAACGGGGUUCUAAGUUGAAAGUUAUGCAAGAUACAAAAUAGAGCCUCGAAACCGGAAACCCAGUAUUUGCUGCUGUCUGGCAGCUUCAUGACUCAAGUUUGUACAUGGUUUUGACAUAUCAAAACUCAACGGAAUUAUGUGAAAUCAAAUGGGCUUUGAUCAUGGACAUGUUUAGUUUCAAAACACAUGAUAAUGGAUCAAAAGGAAUCCAUAAGGACAUAGAAAUCGAAAGCCAAAGUAGGCUACUUGAAACAUAGUUUUUCUUCGCAGAAAACAUAAGUUCCCUGCAACUUAGAACCCAAACUCUUCUAAUUAUAACUUCAGAAUACUUCCAUACAAUCCCAAAAUCAUGUCUAUAACUUUGAUUUCAAUCAUACUCACAAUUAACAAAAAUUGACUUUUUAAGCCAAACCCUAAAACAUGAUUUUUUGAUCAACACACCCGAUGUAUAAAAUUAAAAGUAAUAAGAAAUAUUGAUACAAAGAAGCUAUGGAAAUAAUGAAGAAAGCUGAGAAUUUUUACCCUUGUUGCAGGUCGACAAAAGGAACCAUCCUUUUGCUAUGAUUCUCUUUGCUGCUUCAAAUGUAGUCUUCUAUACUUCCCUUGACCUCUCUAAAAAAUCGGAUAUAGUUUUCUCUCCUCGUUAUCCUUCUUCUACCUCUUUUUCUUUCUUUUUCUUUUCCCUGUUCUCUUCCCCUCCUUAUUCAGGCCUCCUCAUUUUUCCACCCGCCCUCGCAUGUAGAGAUUCUCCCUUUUUCUUUAUUAUUAUUAUUAUUAUUAUUAUCCCCUUUUCCAUACAAUCAUAAAAAAAAGUCAACAUAGGUUCAAAAAUCGGACCGAACCAUUCAUACCGAUUCCAAUUUUCAUGUUAGUAGAAUUGCUUAGAACCGAAUCGGGCCAUGAAUAUAAAUAAUUAAUUAAAUUUAAUAGGUGUAUACGGGUGUCACUAAAUGAGUGGUGAAAACCAAACUGGUUUUACCUAAUAGGACUGCAUGUGAUCAUAUCUCAAAUAGGUCUUUCACUUGCACGGUUCACCUAUUGAGACAAUGCACUUAUUUGAAAAAAGGAGGUCGUUUUCUCUCCUAGAUUCCCAAAUUUAACAUUCAGGUUUCGAUUUCAUUUUUUUUAUUUUUUAUUUUGAUAGAGUGAUCUUAAGGUGUUUAGUUACAUCCUAUUUGUUUCUUUCCCUUUUCCUAGGACUUUUUUUUAAUCUCUUGAUAAGUCUCUCUUGGGCUUAAAUAUUGUAUUCAUACUAACAUUUUUACUGCAUAGUGGAUGAUUUGUAUGUGUGGAUGUACAUUUGUAUCAUGAAUGUUAUAUGACAUUUGAACUGUGUUUCUUUUUUUGUUUGCUUAGUGUCAGAAAUAUUUGCAUUUUGAUUUUGUAUUUGAAAUGAUAUGUUUUGUUUGUAACAUUGUUUAACCAUUUUAGAAGUGGUAUUUGAAUGCAAGCAUGCAAAAAACAAGAGAAUAAAAAAAAGUAAACUUUGAAUACCAUUUUGAUUUGGUAUUCAAAUGACUUAGUAUUGGGCACCGUAAACAGACAUGGACCGAACCGAAAUCAGUGUGGAUCAAACCAUAUGAUUUUAGUAACAAAUUUAAGUGGAACCACACUGAAUCAAAUCGUUAAUAUUUCUCGGUUCCGGUUCCGUUUUGAGGAUGGAACCACACUGAACCACACCAUGCUCACCCCUACCCACUUUCUCUCAUUCUCUGUCAUUGAGUCUCUCUUCUUUUUCUCAAAUGUAAUGUUAGGGAGACCAAAUUUUUUAUAUCAAAUUUGUAAACCAAAUGAUGUGGUUGUGGAUAAUUGGAUUAUUGAUUAAGUGUCCAAUGACGUGCUUGUUUCUUAUUAGUGACACAUAAUUUAUUUUACAAAUUUGAUUUAAAAUUUUGUUCUCUGUAACAUUUUCAUUCUCUGAGCCUCUCUCAAUGAGUCCGAUAAGUGAUGAGAAGGUCCCACUGUUUUACGCAUUAAUAUUACUGUGAUGAUAUGAGAAGGUCCCACUAAUUUACACAAGACAAAGAUCCGAACAGCAAGAAACAUUGGACAACAACUCUGCAAGCUGCUCUGAUAAAGAAUCAAAGCUCUUACAGGAGCAUAUAUUUUCUUCAAUUGUCCUUGACCCGCAGGUGAUCCAAGCAAGGCAUCAUGUAGGCAGCGGGGCUUGCCUGAAGUUCCAUGAAUUUCUCAUACGUCAUUCCAAUGUACUUCGCUUUUUCACCUUCCUUUUCUAGCAACUCCGGGAUCGGUACAGCGGGCGUGUCGAGUGCCGGUCCAUGUGGUACGGCGAUCGAUAUCCUAGUAGCUGUGUUGUUCACAGUUGCUCGAUGCCAUAUGCUCUUGUACUUGUCGUUUGUUAGAAUUUGCAUUUGAUCACCAACGUUAACAAUAAAAGCGCCCGGAGCGGCAUUUACCAAGACCCACUGAUCAUUGUGCUUGACUUCAAGGCCACACAUAUCAUUCUGAAUCAGGAGCGUCACCAGUCCAUGAUCUGUAUGAGGAGGAAUACCGAUUGCCAGGUCGGGCUGUGGGCAAGCCGGGUAGUAGUUUGCUGCCAGAAUUUGGCAGCCCCGAUCCCAGUUCAUGGCCUUGGUAAUGUAAUCGGCCUCCAGUCCCAAACUCUCCGAUAUUCCAUUCAAUAUUUCGGUUGCCACUGCACGGGUUCUUUUGCUGAACUCCAAUGAAACUUCACUGUACCCAGCAGGUUUGUAGAGUGAGUUGAAUUUGGGGUGUGCGAUGACCUUGAGAUAAUCCCUCCAGAGACGAACUUUGUCAAUUGCGACGUUGAAGCUGGUGCCGCACUUGAUUGGGUCCAACAGGUUCUUUGUAUGGAACUCCUUCUUCUCCUCUUCCGGCAGUUCAAAAAAUCUUCGGCACGCGUCGAUCAUUUCUUUCAUUAGGCUCUCUGGUACAUCAUGGUUGAUCACCUAAAAGGCAUCAAGCACAUGAAAAUAUUAAUUCAUGUUUCAUUUUUAAAGUUAAAAUUUGAAAACUUAUAACUAUUUCAAUUUUCAAUUUAUAUAUAUAUAUUUUUUUUAAAUAAAAAUUUGAAACGAAAUAGUUAUCAAACUAAUAAAAUAUUAGUUAAUUUUAUACAUGUUCAAGCAUACAUAAUUAAUAACAAGUGUGAACAUACCUGAAAGAAGCCCCAUUCUUGGCAAGCUUUUCCUAGCUUCUGGAUCAUUUGUGCCCGUUCAUCAGGGGAGGCAGAGGUGAGAAGAGCAAAAUCAAUGAUGGGGAUUGAGUGUUCAGGGUCGUUUGCAUCUCCCUUAUCGUUGGGAUCCAUGAUGUAGGCGUACUCGGAAGGUACAGAAGUGAGAGCAUGUGAGUCGGCUAAGGUUUUGAUGCUAGCUACCUUGGGUUCAGAUGCAUCCACUGAAGUCACGGUAGGUGCCAUUGGUGGAGGGAGAGAGAAAGAAGCUGAGAAUUCUGGUCUUUGAUUUGUAUGUCCUGAAGGAAGGACGUGAGGGAGAGGAAAGUUAAUUG